CCACUUUAUUAGGUACACCAUGCUAGUAACGGGUUGGACCCCCUUUUGCCUUCAGAACUGCCUCAAUUCUUCGUGGCAUAGAUUCAACAAGGUGCUGGAAGCAUUCCUCAGAGAGCUUGGUCCAUAUUGACAUGAUGGCAUCACACAGUUGCCGCAGAUUUGUCGGCUGCACAUCCAUGAUGCGAAUCUCCCGUUCCACCACAUCCCAAAGAUGCUCUAUUGGAUUGAGAUCUGGUGACUGUGGAGGCCAUUUGAGUACAGUGAACUCAUUGUCAUGUUCAAGAAACCAGUCUGAGAUGAUUCCAGCUUUAUGACAUGGCGCAUUAUCCUGCUGAAAGUAGCCAUCAGAAGUUGUGUACAUUGUGGUCAUAAAGGGAUGGACAUGGUCAGCAACAAUACUCAGGUAGGCUGUGGCGUUGCAACGAUGCUCAAUUGGUACCAAGGGGCCCAAAGAGUGCCAAGAAAAUAUUCCCCACACCAUGACACCACCACCACCAGCCUGAACCGUUGAUACAAGGCAGGAUGGAUCCAUGCUUUCAUGUUGUUGACGCCAAAUUCUGACCCUACCAUCCGAAUGUCGCAGCAGAAAUCGAAACUCCUCAGACCAGGCAACGUUUUUCCAAUCUUCUAUUGUCCAAUUUCGAUGAGCUUGUGCAAAUUGUAGCCUCAGUUUCCUGUUCUUAGCUGAAAGGAGUGGCACCCGGCGUGGUCUUCUGCUGCUGUAGCCCAUCUGCCUCAAAGUUCGACGUACUGUGCAUUCAGAGAUGCUCUUCUGCCUACCUUGGUUGUAACGGGUGGUUAUUUGAGUCACUGUUGCCUUUCUAUCAGCUCGAACCAGUCUAGCCAUUCUCCUCUGACCUCUGGCAUCAACAAGGCAUUUCCGCCCACAGAACUGCUGCUCACUGGAUAUUUUUUCUUUUUCGGACCAUUCUCUGUAAACCCUAGAGAUGGUUGUGCGUGAAAAUCCCAGUAGAUCAGCAGUUUCUGAAAUACUCAGACCAGCCCUUCUGGCACCAACAACCAUGCCACGUUCAAAGUCACUCAAAUCACCUUUCUUCCCCAUACUGAUGCUCGGUUUGAACUGCAGGAGAUUGUCUUGACCAUGUCUACAUGCCUAAAUGCACUAAGUUGCCGCCAUGUGAUUGGCUGAUUAGAAAUUAAGUGUUAACGAGCAGUUGGACAGGUGUACCUAAUAAAGUGGCCGGUGAGUGUAUAUCACAGGGUUGAAAAAAAUUGCAAUUUUAGUUUAUUCUGAUGUUGUGCAGCCCUAGUUCAUGGUAGCAUUAGCCUCUAGAAAAAUGUUUUCUAUGCAUUUCAGGGUUUUAUUUGCACAAGUCCAAGUAUCUUUUAAAGAGUUCAAACUCAAAAUAUUGACGUUUUAGUUUCUGGUUUCAAAUUAAAUAAGACUUGAUGCAUCUAAGGUAUUCAUUUAAGUGAAGUGACUCAUGAUGAAUAUAGGUGGAUAGAGUCUGAUUCUGUUGUCUAUCAGCUUCAGGAGUUCAGUGAAGGGCUUUUGUAUUAUGCCCACACAUUUUAAGAACCAUCAGAGUUUUUUCCGCUCUAUUUUAAAAACCAAAUGUAUUUAGCAUUAGGUUAAAUGCAGGGCUAAAAUUGCAUGUGUCCACUACUCUUACUCUUGGCUAUCCUGACUAUCAUAUGGACUGUAAAGCAUUCAAUAAGUCAUCAUCCAGUAAUUUUGAGCUCAUUUAUUUCAGAUUACUUUUUACUGUCACAAACAUAAUGAGUAGGACCUGAAAACCCUUGUUGAGUCAUAGUCUGUCAAAAAUAUAAUUUUCAAUUUUCUGGCAAAAUCACCCAGAGGCUUUACUGAUCCUUUCUUACGGCAAUAAAACACAGCUUUACCGCUAGAGUUAAGCUCAGGUGCCUAAUGCGAAUUGUAUGAAGUAACACAGAAGCCAUUAUGAUUGGACAGAAAUAAAAGAAGGGAAAAAAAAGAAACCCUAUGACAUUAUACUCUUUGCUAAUAUUUCACUGAAUGUUUUAAAAUCCUCAAUCAUCUCAAACAUCCUGGACACCACCUCUGAAAGCCUGGGAUCUAUUUCUAACAAGCAUGACAUGAGAGGCAGCAAUAGACCUUUUUCUUCCUUUCUAGAGAAGCCAGGGUUUGCAGGGUAUUAAGCCAUUUCGCUCCACUGUCAUUUAGCAAUUACGCGUCUGUUGCGGGGAAAUAGGACGGAAAUCCUUGUGCAGGAGAUGAAAGGCCGGCUCUGCAUCAGAGAGACUGAGCUCAGACCCCAGACUUGCGCUAGCCGUGGUGGUCUCUUUUCUUCUCUCUCAUAUUCUCUCAUCCCUCCCUCUCACACUCUCACUUUCUGUCAAUAACGCUUGCCAAAAGUGGAUUCCCCUUCAAUCCCCUCGCCCAACCCCGACACCACCACCCCACCCACCAUCUCUUGGCUCAGUUUUGCAGCGCAGUCUCGGCGGACUAUCAGCAAGUGGCCACCUCUGAGUAUGGCACUGAGCUGCUGUGAUCUAACAGCUAUAAAAUGCCAAAUAAAACUUAUGGACAGCCAUUGCCAGAGAGCAGCAGCCUAUACAACACAAUGGAUCAUUGUUAUGGAAUGGAUGAUGUCAUGACUGCGCUGUGCUCACUUCUGCUCGUCCUCUUCUUUUUUAAUGCGAUUUCUUUAAUUGGAAAAAUAAAUACUAUCUCUAUGGGUUUUUUUUUUUUAAUGAUGUCAUGUCUAAUAUUUAUUGACCCUCUUUGCUUUAAAAUAUAUUUGACUCUAAAAAAAAGACAUCAUUUAAAAAUAAUGAAAGUUUGUAUUUUGAUUUUGUAUUCAAACACUUAGCUUUCCCCUUCUCUUUGAGCUUAUUUUACAAAUCCUACCUUUGAUUGUAUUUUCCAGAAGCAUCCAUUUAUGAUACGGCCCUGGAGGCAGCAGUCGAAGCAGGAUGACCCAGAUAUCCCUCACCACAGCAACAUUUUCCGGCCCCUCCUGCUAGAUCCUGUGGCGCUCGGGCCAGGUGGGACAUAUAAUUCCUCCAGAGUUCUGACUCCACAGGAGUCUCCUCUAGGCCACUCCAAUGCAUCAUCAAGCCCACAAUUGAUGCAGCGAGUAUAAAACACUGAAAAUUUAAAAUGGAUUAAAGGAUAAUUUCACAUAAAAUCCUUUAAAUUCUGUUUAAAGCUGGAUUUUAUUUUCAACACUAUUUUCAAAUCAUGACUGAGAUAAAUUUAUUCUUUAACAAAAUUUAUAUGUAUCAUGUUAUAUGGUUUCAAAGUCACCAUGCUUAUUUUAAGUAAUAGAUAAGUAGUAAAAGCACAUAAAAUUAGACUGCUAAAACAGCAAGUAAAUAUGUAAUGUCUGUUGAAUGUGGUUCAGGAUGGUUUUUGUGGGGAAUAAAGAAUUUAAAAAAAAAAAAAAUUCCUGGGUUUGGAGGACUUGGUUCUAUCGUUUUGGUGGCAGUGUGAAAUGAGUGCUAGAGAGGUUGAGAGGGGUCCUUAAUCAGAAGGGGCUUUCUUGAUCACCUAGUGAAUGCAUGGUUAAAAAAGAGGAUGGUAUGAGCUGAGGAUUUUGCUAGUCUAUGAAGCAGGGGCUGGUUUGUUUUGUAUUUGGUAGUAAGGGUAUUGUGCCAGUAUUAAUUGUUGAGAGUUAGAAUAGAUUCAGUGAGAACUUCAGUGUGACAAAUCAAACUAAUGUUGUAAAAUGAUGUAAUUGUUCUGUUCCUGUUUAUAGAAGGCAACAUGAAAAAAGGAAAUAAGUGGUACCAUUUAAUUAUUCAUUUAAAAGUAACGAUAAUUAUUAAUUUAUUCAUUCAUUUUUGGACUUAUUUAUUUAUCUAGAAGGAUUGAUGGAGGAGGAUGAGGGGUUGCUGCUCCUCAGGUCAUAAAGAGCUAUCUUGCGCAGUGUAAAAGUACGCCUCAUAACUUUACCUUGUAAAAUAUACGUUUGUGAAAUCUCUACCAUCUUUAAAGUAAUACGAUGAGCACUAAGUCUUAAGUGCACUCCAAACUGCAAUCCUGUAUUUAAAUACACCUCUACAGAUGGACAAGGACAAUUAAAUAAUUGCAUACUUCCCCAUUGGCAUCAUCAGCGCAGCAAAUCAUGGUACUCUUCUUGUCAAUGUUCAUUUUGCAAGCCAAGUAAUAAUUUGAUAAGUAGCAGUGAUAUGGUUAGAAACUAUGUGUGCAUAAUAAUUCACCUGGAGCAUUAUCAGGCAGGUAGUCAUUAAGUGGAUCAGCUAUAAAUCAUUGCCGUGAACUUUAUGUUCGAAGCAUCUUGCAACAGAGGUUAGAGGAAGUUUUCCUUUUUUUUUCGUUCUCAAUGCCAUAUAUAAUCAUGUCAGAAGUAUAUGUGAUUUGAUGUCUUCUGUUUGGAAGUUGCACUCAUAUACAGAUUUUUUUAUCCACUGAAAAAAAACAUUUUGGAGUAAAGUGGUUUUGACAGGUAAAUCUCAAAGUUGUCACACAGAUAAAUAAUGUUUUUAGCCUCUUCUUUUAGCUUGAUACUUUAACUUUUUUACGGUGAAGAAUUGAGGGGAUGGUAGGGCAAAUAAUGUGUCAAUUUUAGUCAUUUUUAUUGACCUAAAUGCCAUUUGUUUUUUGUUUUUUUAACUUAAAUCACAGAAAAUGUUGCUAUUACACACAUUUAGACAAUUCAAACUCAAGUUUUCAACAGCGCUUUGACUUGAAAAAGAAUUUCCUUAGGGAUGAUUUAAGUGGUUUAACAAUUAUUUUACUGUCUCAGCCUUUUGCUCUCCCUUAAGAUCAAUCCAUUUUAAGGAAACCUAUCCCAGCCAGUACACCAUUACAAAAAUUCACAACUUAUAAGUUAGCACUUUUCGUACGAUGAGUGGCAAAGACAUUGACUUCUGAAAAAUAUAUGGCUUUUGAUCCUAAAUGGACAAAAUAGGAUCACAUUAAAUGUAGUGCUGGCACUGUGUCUUUCACAGUCUGUGUGUUUUUUUUGGCAGCCACUUCAAUCCCCCACCCCGUGUGUGUAACUAAAGAACUCUGACCACAGCAGCACAUGCAUGCAGCCUUGUUCUGUCUUCUUCAUCCCACUGUACCAUCCCCAGCGGUCCCCGGCGUUCGGCCCACAAGCCCACCAGCAGGACCAGUCGAGCCGUCCACCCUUCAGCCAUCCUGCGCUCCGUCACCCUGGCGUCGCAUGACAUUCUUUCCCACAGGCAGCCACAUAGUUCCAGCGUCUCCUCAUGCGAGGGGGCCUGGGACCCUGCAACAGGCGGGGGGCACUUCAAAGGCCGGCCGGCCCACAGCUGCAGCCUGUCGCUCCAGCAGCCAGCUCCAGUUUGUAAUCAUUAUUAAAGGCUUGACCUCGGAGGCAUCUCUGCCGCUGUUCACACCCCCUUCCCACCCCUGAUAACGCUGCACGGGGCUCCUCUCAAGACGACUCCAGUUACCCAUCAGUUGAGUGGACUGAAAGGAGAAAGGCCGGGGCAUUGUUUCAUGCUGUUGUGAUGGUCAAAUUAAAGCAUUACUCAAUUUCCAAGUGCCGUCUUUUUUGGCAUCUUCACAAAACACCUGUGUGCCAUCAGUGCCAGUGAUGCUUCAGGGGCUGGGGACAGUGCCUUGCUGCUGUCUAAACAUGUCUUGUGCUUAUAAAAGAGAAGUGUAUAGUUUAAAGGGAAAUGAGAGUCACAGCUAAUUCCCCUGAAAGUGAUUUAUAGGCACAACAUGUCCAUGCAAAACACUUACAACUGAACUCGUGUACUCUCAUUUUCAAACUUCAAUCAUACUUUUCACAAUAAAAGAGCAAAUGUCAUUCCAGUUAAAUAGUUUACUCUUGCCUUGUGUGUCUGUUUUUCUUCCAUGAAUCAAAACAUCAAUUAAAGUUGAUGUUUUGAUUAUUCAUCAUUUUCAUUCCCCCCCCUUGGUAAGACUGUGCACUUAUGAUGACAUGCUUAUUGAAGAGAUGACUUCAUGUCAAAUACUCGUAAUUUCUGUUUGGCAGACUGUGUCAAAAAAAAAAAAAAGUACGUAAUAAGGCAGAAAUAAAUGUCUUCAUAAAAAUCACACAGAUAGAAUGAAAGAAACUCUUGGGGUUUCUAGAAAUCCCACAUAACCCACCCUAAAAUUUAAACAUUUGCAAACUCAGGUCUCAAAACCAAAGCAGACCUAUAGGUGAUCACAAAAAACUAGAAGACAUUUUACUGUCAUUACUUUUACAAACUGUAAAAUGCCAUUCAAAUACCACUGGACAAUAGAUUAGGAAUUCAAGAGAAAUAUUUUAAGGUUUUAUAUCGUCUACAUAUGACUCUGUAAAAGAUCAACAGAUUUAAUGGGAUACCAGUGAAUCUGAGACUGAAAUACAAAAGACUCUGUCAGAGGAGAUAGAGAGUAAAUUAACAAGAAGCUCUAAUACUGAAGUGUCAGCCUCAAGUGAAUUGAUAAAUAAUUCUCAACCAAAAGCUUUGAGAUCACGGGGAAGUGUGAGCAUUCCAGCUGGACUCCAUGACAAAUUUAUUCAGCCUAAAAAAAGGCUGGAGUAAAAACUAAUUUUAUACAUGCCAACCCACACUUAAUUACAUAGAUGUGAAAGGAAAAAUCUGGAUAAUGUAUAAUUAAUAAGUAGUUAUGCAAAAUACAACCUCGACAGGCUGAGACAAGACCUUUGCAUACAUAUCACCAAAGAAGAAAAAAUGUUUUCUGCAAACUAACAACACUUUUUUACUCCGCCUAUAAGUUUUGGAGAAGGGCCUGGAUAAAACAGCCAGGGUUUUUUUAAAACAGUCAGGUGAAGCUAAUUAAACACUGGCUAACCUUGGAUUGAUUAGCGCAAAUUGGAGCUGUCAAACAGCUAAUUUUCUAAGUGGUGAGAAAAUCUCAGAAUUUUAAAAGUAGUCGCAAUUAAUUAUAUUUCUGACUGCAUGUUUAAAAUUCCUCUAAUUUGCAUUUUCAAACUGUAUGAGCUCAAAAUUAAUGAUGUCAAGCAAUUCCUUGUAAGCAGUAUCUUGAUUUGGGAGUCAAAUGGAUGCAAUGAUCUUGACUUUCAGAUUCAUAUUCGCAUUAAUGUGUUCUUCCCAUUACUACUAUUAUACUUCCCAUAAUAGUAAAUAGCGACCCGAGCAUGUCCCCUGGAUUUGACCACAGGUGUGCAGAGAUUUGUACGCUCCAAUAUGAAUAGCAGUCUGUCGUGUCGGCAUGUAGGUGUUGUGCGAAACACGAAAACAGUAGGUACAACAAAAAAAUACUCGUGCACUUUUGAAACAUACUACAAAGUUAAUACUGCACAUUACAUGUUUUUUAUGUCAUGCAGGCCUCUUAGAUAAGUCAUUACAGUGUGAGCCAUGAGAUUUUCCCUUUAGUUUUAAGCAGACAAAUGUUUUCACAUCAUAGUUAUGAUCAGUUUGCUUUACGUUACAUUACACAGCCAGUGCCAAUAUUGUAUAUUUGCACAACUUCAUACUGGUGCUGGAACAGUAUAUCAUGCAGCCCUGUCCAAAUAUGUCUAAAAAGCCACUGGGUUCUGUGCAGGUCUGGAGUUUGAGUGGUAUCUUUAGACUGACUGAGGUACGUGAACUUAAAACCCAUACAACUUUGAGGUAAAAGAAAAAUAUGUGCAAUCUUACUCUGGCUUGUGCAUGAAUGAUUCCACCAAUGUCCACCAAUCACUCCUUUGCAAAUGGCUCGAGAGUUUCUAAUGUGCAUGUAAGCUGUUCUGUGAUGCAGGGACCUGUGGAUAGAUUUUGCAGCCCCCCAGCACUCCCGAGAUCGACCUUUUGAGUCAAUAUUAAAUACAGUGUUUGAAGCCUGUCGUCAGCAGCUUUAUUGACAUUUCUCUCAUUUCAAAAGCCUCUUGAUUAGUAGUUGAGUUGGCCGGCAGUAAAAAAAGGUUUUAGCAAUGAAGAAAGUCACGACAAGUAAAGGGCAACAGUCUACGGCCCAUAUCCGUAUCGCUCAACAGCCUCGUAUUGAACAGCUGGAUCUAUUGUGUUCAUAUGGAUUGUAAACAACAUUGUAAAAAAACACUUGUCCAUAUCCGCUAUUAAACAAACUAUCUGCACUGAUAACAAUCAUCAGGAGCACAAUGCACAAUGCUCUCAUGCUUCGGUAAUUCUAAAAAUCUACAGCCAGAUGUUAAUGUGCCAAGAGCAAGGGUGCCCUCCUUACUUUUUCUCAUUAAUGUCUGCGCCGUUUUCUUGAGGUAAUGCUCUUGAGUCACUCCAAAAAACAGAACAACAGCAGGUGUCUAAUAAUGGCAGGCCUGAAAAUGAGUGGGAGGGGUCUUAACCAGGUGUGCAGCAUUGGUAACAAACAUGGAGCAUGAUAACCCUUCAUUAAAGAUUCCACACUCUGUACGGCAUCAAGCUGAGGCGGAGUAUGACCUGAAACUAUCUGUCUGUACGGGUAAUCAAUCUUCUCUUUUACUCAUUGAUUUCUCCAGUCUUUAUUGUUGUCCUACAUACAGUCUGCUGCUGUAUAGAAAUCAACAUCCUUUCAGACUAAAAUCAAGUUUAAGGUUUCAAUUUACAAGCAGUAAAUCUUCUCUUGACACCUUUGCGGCAAAUAAACAAAUCUUUUUACAAACGCUUCAUUCACAAAGUUAAGGAUCGUGUUGUUACUAAUGCACAAUUGGCAGAGAUACUCAAGUUUUUUCUGGGUGAGUCGUGUUCAGAGUUUUAAUGGAAUUGAGCAUUAAGCAAUCCAUCAUCAGGAGAUUAAAAAGUGAAACUUAAUACAGUAUUCACUUGGAUGGCUCUUGAACUCCUGAUCCUGAGCACCACACCUUAAGAGAUAAACUUCCAAAACUUUCAAAUCAGUCUUUUUUCUGAAGCAAUCACAAAAGUGACACUUUGUGUUAAUCUGCUUAGGGAAUACAAGAAAAGGAAUAUGUUCAAGAAUGAAUCUUGCACCAGGUGUUGCAACCACUUCAUCUACUAUCAUUAUUAUUGGGUUUUUUUUUAACUAUCAGUAACACUUUACUUGACACCUAUCUCUAUAACGCAUUAUAAAUAUAUUUGUAAUGUGUUAUAAUCAUGUUAUAGCACUGUAUAACUAUAGUUAUAAACACUCAUAAAUGAUCAUAAUGCUUUAUAGCAAUAAUCAUAACACAUUAUAAAGCAUUUUAUCAUGACUUAUAAAAUCAGAUAUUAUAAUGUGUUUUGCUUAUAGUUAUAAAGCCUUAUGAUAAUUAAUGAGUGUUUACAAUGAUAGUUAUUCAAGUUUAUAAGCAAAUUAUAACACAUCAUAAAUUUAUGUAUAAUGCAUUAUCUAUGUGGGCAUUGUCAGUGAGUUGUUAACAGUUAUAACACAUUAUAAUACCUGACCUUGUAAAUCAUGAUAAAAUGAUAUAUAAUUUGUUAUGAUUAUUGCUAUCAGGCAUUAUGAUCAUUUAUGAGUGUUUACUAUAGUUACACAGUGAUAUAAUGUGAUUAUAACGCAUUAUACAUAUAUUUGUAAUGCGUUAUAGAGAGAGGUGUCAAAUAAAGUGUUACCAAAAGUUUAAAUUACUCACAAAAAAAAUCGUAUUCGUCCCAAUGUGCUUGUUAUAAAUGAAAAGCAUAUUAAAAUAUAUAUAUAUACAAAUAUUUAUAAUACGUUGUAGAGAUAGGCGUCAAGUAUAGUGUUACCAAACUAUCCGUUCCAUUUCUAUGGCAACAUCCACAACACUGCAGUGUGUCAGCAACAAUUCACGCAAUGACUUGUAUUAUCUUAUUGAGAGAUCCCAUCGUUUUGCUAACAGAGAUGUAAGAAAGGAAACCGUGACAAAACGUGCGAGCAGAGAUAACACAUUCAGCUGUGUUUAUGCUCAAUGCUUCAAUCAAUAAUCGCAUUAAUCACUCAGUCCGAUCUAUGAGGAGAUGCGAGAUUUGUUUUUGUAUGUGAACGAUGUGAAACCUGUCCGGGGUUUCCAUGAUGGAUAAUUUAUGUCCUGCCCAUGUUGCACCCUAAAACAUAAAUCGUCAUGAAAACACGAUUCAGAAAUCCCCUCUCAUAUUACAUGUCAGACAUUUAGUGUUUGUUUUUAUUUCAGCAGUUGGCAGGUUAAAAAAGACACCUUCCAUCAGCAGUGCCAGUAUUUCAAUUAUCGCAGAAGAUAAGAUAAAAGCACGUUGAGGUGAUCUAAAGCAACCUCAGCUAUCUCACUUAUUUUGUAUCAUAGCAGUGAAAACACGACAUGCUCAGUCAGAGUUUAGUAAGCAGCGUGUGUGGCUAAGCAUCAGUGAGUGGAGUCAUUCCAAAGCUUAAGAGCUGACAGCUCCAAACAGAUGGAAAAGCCCCUCUGUCCUACGCAGCACGCUCUUUGUCCACCUUUCCACUUUUGUUUUGUUGAUUUGUUUAUUUUUGGUUUCUAUACAAUCAAGAGCCUCUUGAGCUGGGAGUGUGGAGAGACCUAGACAAAAUAUGAUGGCGGCAAUGGAUGAGAGGGGACGGCAUGGGACAGGACCCCCCAGGCGUGCUGCAGGGGGCCUGCUCGAGCUGGAUGCCUGGAAUGGCUCAGGGGUCCCAGCGGCACGAGCCUCUGACACUUAACAAGCGCCUCGCAGUUGUCCCUGGCCUUGACCCUGUCUCGUCUUAAGACACAUUUGGAGCUUAGAGAGGGGAGAGCCUCGGGGACAUGAUCAAUUACACUUUGUCAUAUGAUAAGAAUAUCUCUGAUAGGAGUAAAUUAUAACUGUUUUUCCAUUACGUAGUGUCUGAAGUUUGAAAGUCGAGUGAAUUUAGAUAUUACUACAUGCACAGUCACGCUUGCAGCUGAAUAACUCAUAUGCAGACUGUACUGCUUUUAUUUAAAAAUCUAUACUUAAAAAAAUAAUGAAUUUAACACUAUAUGGUAUGAGAAGGCAUGAAACUUGUCACGUAGAGCAGCAUGGUUGCACUUUUGCGAUGAAACGAGUUGCGUCCUGUUGGAUAGACAGAGACUUAACUCUGUGCACCUCGGGUGAUGUGACUGCCACUGUUAACAUUUAUAUCAAUGCUUCGAUUCACUUUUUAUCCUUAGUUUUUUUCUCCUGCUGCCUCUCCCCUUGAAGAAAGUCUGGGGAUUUCUAUCAGGCAGGCCAGUAGAUGUCUCAGCUCAGGGCUUCUUGUUACAAGCCCUCAACAGACUUUACUCGUGAGUAACAAGGACACAUUCCCUGGCCCCCUUGCAUGUCCGCCGGGAGGCUGUGGAUCACGUACGGGAAUCAGUAACGUAGUCUGCAGCCCGGAUAGAAAGUCUGGUGAAAGAACAAGCGUGCUUUUCAAAAGUCACUACAAAAAAGAGACACAGGCUGUUUUAAAUGAGGUUAUAUUCAGAAAAAUCCUCUAAAAAGAUUAUAGUCACCGGUUUGUUAAGCUGAGCUUGAAACAAAGUUAACUGUUCACUGGCACUGCGCACAUUGUCUGACACUGAUACAGUCGACAGGAAUGUCAGGCAAACGAGGCAUGACUAAUACGACUGUUUUUAUUUCAAAAUGAUUUAAAGCUAUAAAAUGUCAGGCUGGUUCAAGCCCAAGCCUGACGGGUCUACUGUGUAAUAAAUGUUUCCACAUUUAUAGAGAAAAGAGGAAGAGACUUGCUUUGCUAAUGUUUUAUGUCUUUAGUUUUAUGAGUUGCCAAAAUCAUCAUAUGGCGUUAUGUUUUUUAAACUCAGAGGUAUGCUGAUGGGGAAAUUCAUAAACCUUGAAAUACCAAUAAAAAUAUAAAGUUUAUGAUUGCUGCGAGGAAAGUUGGAUAAAAGUCACAAAACAGGCAUGACACACUAACAGCUGUGCGCCAGGAUCAGUUGAGUUCAAGGACUCGAAGUUGAAGUGUGCCACAUGCUUUAAUACAAACAUUUUCUUUAGCCAUUAAAGGAGUAAUACCGUUAAUCCAUGUUGUUGACAUGGAUGUCUUCUUAUCUAAAUGCCCGCAACAAUGUUGUUUCUAAAAGCUGGACCAUUAAGAAUAAACAGUCCACAUACCAGGCAGUUAAUGUGGUGGACAUUUGCCAAGUGUGGAUUCCAUGCAAAGUGAGCUGCCCCAAUCAGUACUGGCCAGGGAAUACACAAAAUGCCCCUCAUGCAUUAUGUGACACUGAAUUGUGCUUUGGAAAACGUGGCUUUUAAUGUUUCCCUAAUUGGGGUGCAUUAAUCAAUUGUGCUCCAUCAGCAGAGGCUAAGAGGGCCUGUAAGCAUCUGCCCACCAUCCAGCUCUGUGACCCAAGACCAGCUGGCUUUCAACCCACGCUCUGCUGCAAGAAAUCACUUUUGACUUCAUCCAUCAAAGCUACAUUAAUAUUCUGUCUUGAGCAGCCCACUACUUGGACUGUGAUCCUGGUCCUAAUUACCUUAGGCCCUGCCAGGAGAAGGUGACCGCAGAGAGCAGAGCGACUGUAUCAGCUCUCCCUUCCUGUCACUUACCAUACAUUUAUACUCCAUCAGGGACUGGUGGCUCUUACAGGCUCGUCCGCUUUGGCUCACGCAUUCCGCUUACAAAGGACGCAGGGGUAUCAGAAAUCGGGGACAAUGGCAACAACUGCACAUCUAAUUUAGCUCCAUGUUUAUCUCAAGUUUGUAAUCAGAUCUGCCGCACAAUGCGGGGGGGGGGCACAAUGGAAUGGUGAUCAGGGAGCUAUUGUUUUUCAAGCUAAUUAGCCUCUGACCAUACUUGUGAAUCCUCUGAGGUGUACAAUCCCGGAGUUUAAAUGUAGCUAAAAGUGGCAUAGGUCCCUGGUACCAUUAAAACGAGCCUUACAAGUCAAUGGUAUUUGGGGAUGUGUUAUAUGAUGGCCUAGUUCUCUGCUCAUUACAUCGCUCUGUUGAACAUAGCCGAGGACUUUGGGAGCCCAGUGACCGCACAACAGUUGUUUUUAGUCUAAUGUGGUCCAUUUAUCAGUUGUGCUGCCAGCUCACAUUGUCUUUCCCACAAUUGACACUGAAACUAAGCUCAGGAGAUUAUACAGCAAACUCAUGUGACGACAUUUAAGCUUUAUAACAGUACAUCUCCCAUCUUGCGUAACAAUUUUAUUGCACAUCAUUUUUAAACGGACGCAAUUAAACUUCAAAUAUUAUUCCUUAUUCGGAGGACACGAAGGCACCGCCUGAAGAGUUGCUAAUGACGGCAAUGGGAGUUGCAUGCAUAAAAUUUUAAGCUCUCCACUCACAGAGUACAUCUUACUUAUUAGUCGUAGCUGUUGAUUUAAACAUUCAGCACCCAGGGUGGGAACUGUUGCAGGGAAAGAAAGCAAGAGUUUCAAACCAGCCUUGUGGAAACAACCUUUGACCUCAGAGCAUUAGCCCCUGACCUGCAACAGGUGGAGACAGUGUCUUUCCAGCCAGUCAAGACCAAGUGUCAGGGGCUUUCUAGCAUCUUCUCUCAGCUCUUUGGACAAAUAUUAUCAUUUUGCUGAGGGCUAGUCAGACAAACAUGGUGUGAGGUCUAAUAGCACAUGUUAUUGUGAGUGUAGAUGCUGUGUCUGGUUGUAGAGGGAGUCUAGAGAAGGUGAUUGAAUGAGAAAAACAAGCCAAACACCUGUUUCACACUUACAACUCUCAGCAGUAAUAGAGUUUGAUGGGAGGAGGGGGUGCUGAGACAAAGAAGAAUUCAUUACUUCUUAGGGACUCUAACCAGGGGACAGCUUUGUCUGAGGCAUGUAGAUGCGGUGUAAUGUGAAUCAUAUUUGCGUAUUAUAAAUAGUUAUUUAAUCUGGUUUAUGACUUGAUCUUGCGCAGAAAUUAUUUUGCAUGUAAAACUUUAAGAACAUUUUUUAGUUGUUACAUUAUUUUAGAAUAUCUCAGACUUCUUCUUCAGGUUAAACAAUUACCCCAUUCCAAAUCUUUCUGGCUUUGCAUCUGCCAGACAGCACGCUGUUCAGGAGUGUAUAUAUAUCAUCAUCGGGGCGAGGAGGCACAGAGUGGUCUGUUGGCUGCAACCCAAAUGGACAAUCUUUGAUCUACAACUGUGUAGUUCUUGGGGCCAGGCGGCUUCAUGAGCCUAUUGAGAGUAUGAGGCAGGCGAUGGUUCCCCCAAAAGGUGUCGGCAAUCUCCCUCUGGUCUGUCCUCAUCAUGGCGAGAAUGCACACAAGUGGUCCUCCGAGACUCUCCCUGACGUGGCUCUCAAUGGCAAACGAGUUUUAAUGGAGAGGUCAGGGAGAGUUCCUGACCAACGGGGCCAGGGGCCAGGUGGCACAUCACAGCGUCCCUAUGUGCAGCUAUCCCCAGAAUGCGACACAGUGGCGUCGGCAAGUUUGCCUCUGAUCAACGAGGGGAGGGCUGGGCGUGAUAGCAUCGCCAAAUGCUGAGGGGACUGUGGCACAGGCCGCGGUGCCAACUCUGUCGAGCCAUUGUGUUUUGUAGUGUGGAAUUAGUUAAGCAGGGAAACAUUUAUCAAGACGCUGUGAACAAAAACUGUUAAAUCAUCAACAGACAGGAUCCCAUGGUUACCUCUUCGUUUGUUAAAGACAUUCAGUUGAGGAAACAAAAACUGCGGUCAAAACAACUGUGAGGAAAUUUCCCUUUGUGUCGACUAGGGUGGCCCUGGUGGACAAAACAGUGUGUCUUAUCGCUUUGCUGAUCUAGAAAGGAUACUUCCAGUUGCCUGACAGCACUUUUUAUGGAAAACACUCUUCCCACAGAUUGGCAGCAGGCAACUGUUUGUUUUUUUGUCAUGUUUAAGUAAAUAUUCGUGUCUUGGUAUCAUUACAUUGGUACUGAUUGUAUUUACCUUGUUUCACAACCACUUUAAAACUCCUUGUAGUAAAUAUGUAUACUGUAUCAUUAUUAUUAUUUUUUUUUUUUGCAAAACUUGCUCAUACCUCAAGUCACCUUUGGGUAUGAUUUUGUGCAACACAGGACUCACUUUGAGCAUAUACCUUGACUUUUUCAAGACUGCUUUAUGCUAUGAUAUGACAACUAUGAAACAUAUAUAUCUUGACAAGCUGUGAUUUAAAAAAAAAGAGCACAUAAAAACACACAAAAAAAUACUCUGAAAAAGUCCCACAGAAAAAAAUCCAAAGCCAGUUAAUCAAAAACACUGGGAGCGUAUAUCUGUCAAGAAACAAAAAGGUACUGGGAAACCACAAAGACAUGAGGUUGUCAACAAUCUGACAAACAGUGAAGGCAGCACAAGGACUUAAUACACUAUGUAACAAGCAACGAGAGACAGGUGAGACAAUAAGGUGCAGACAAUCACUGAGGAGGGAAACCACAGGAAGUUAAACUGCACUAGACACACAAGAAGACGGAACUACAAAAUAUAAUAGGAAACACUGCAAACUGAUCUUACGAAUUCAACACUGAGAACACGAGGGAAACUGCAACAAACAAACACAAGAAGAAAUUACAACAUAAUGUAUUAAACGGGUUGUCAGAAAUGUCCUGUAGUGUUUGCUACUGCUGGUAUUGAUGUUUUAGAAUUUAACCCCUUAGUGCACAGAGACUUUUCCAACCUUUCUGCAAGUCCCCUUUCCUGUCAUAUCUAUAUUACCCUUUCUCUCAGCAAACCAUAAAAGUACCUAAAAAACAUAAGUAGAGGUGCACUGCACAAUGAUUGCAUUCCUUUAUGGUGUUACAUGUUGCUCUUGGAUUUGGCAAUACAGCAAGCUACUGUAACCAGAAAUUAACCGAAACUACUGCGCAUAGUUUAUAUCACUUGGUGAGAAAUUGGAUAAAUGCAUAGUGAUGCAGAGGUUCUAGGUUUGUGUGACACAUGCGUGUUGUAGAAGUCAGCAUUAUCUUUUGGCACCUCACGUUUUUUCCACGUGUUUCAGAAGUUUUUUUUUUUUUUUUAUUCUGGUGUUUUGUGUAGUUUUAAUGUUACAUUUGUUUUGUAAUGGUACACAUACAGUAAUCUGAACAUGAACUCCCUUUGACAUGUGGAACUAUUGAGUGUAAUACUAACAAUUUACAAAUUUCAGCCAAGUUAAUACACAUGUCAUAAAGUGAGUAAGAAAAGUAGCGGCACCUGUUUGGCUCUUUAAGCACUGGUUUUAGUCCAUAUCACAGAAAUAACAUUAGGAAGUAUUAGUAUUAGGACGUAAGUUUCAGUGAACCAGCUGCUUAUUAUUCUGUCACUCUUAUUUCAAAUAAACUCGUGCCAAUUAUAAGUAUUUUCCUUUGUAAUUUCUAACUAUCCCCUCAUAAAUAAUAAUAAAAAAGGGUUCAGUGUUAUUCAUUAUUGAUAAAGUCAGUCUGAGUAAAGGAGACUUAGACCUGAGAUACUGUGAACAGAUAUGACACUCUGACAUGAAAGAAGCAUUAGGGUCUCUAAGGAGUGAUUCAGUAAUGCCAUCUACUGGCUGCAUACUGUGUCACUUCUUUGAAGAUAUGAGUAAACACACUGAUCUGAGCUAACUGGAGUCUUUAUUAUAUAUAUAUAUUUUUUUUUUCGUAUGGCUGAUUAAGAUUCACCUGUCCAAAGAACCGACAUCAUCUUACACAUUAGAGACUCUUGAUGUGUUUUUUCCAGUCAUUUAUCUUCUCUUUAAUAGAGCUCAGUCCCUUCUGGAGAGGAGGACAGGGACUAAUUAGGCUGCGUAUGGCCCACAAAGUGGCUCUGUCAUCUAGUGGCCAUUGAAGUGAACAAACAGUCCCUUGCCACUUUCAGCUGCUCAGAGAUAUUAGAAAACACAUUUUGAAACACCAGCUGUCUUGCGGUUUUCAGUGCACAAUCCCCUAAAACCACAAGCGUUGCAGUAUAGCAGCUUAUCUGUGUGCCCAGAGUCAGAAGAUAAUGUAACCAGAGCCCAUUGUUGUGAAUGGACCAAUAAAAAGCUUGGAGGAUGACAGUUUCCACAUUUAUAUGCAACUAAAUAGCUUGUUAAUGACCUGUUAACCAAUUUGUACAAAGCAUAAUGACCUUUUUUUUCAACACGUUUUAACCAAACUGAGGCACCGCGCUCACAGAGACCUUCAAGUAGCUGUUAUGUUGUGCCCUUAGCCGUGGCCAAGCCUCUCUGCACACACCCUGGCAAGCAUCAUUUGCACACUACAUGCAAAUUUGUUCACAUGCUUCAUUUACAUAUGAAAGAAAGAAAUGUUUGCACAGAUCCCAUCUAACAUUGCUCUCUAAACAGGACUGUAAUUAAAGAUUAAAAAAAAAACAGACAUGGAUGGAGGAUUUAUUCUGCACAUCCAAAAAACUCUCUGUAGUAGCUUGUUAGCAAAACAGCCAUAGCCGCUGAACACCAACUUGAGAGCGUAUCAUUCCUACCUUUUCUUUGUCAAUAUGUCCAAUUAAAGCACAAGUAAGACACUCAUUUUCUUUUAUGUCCUGCCAUGAAAUCUUCAGACUGGGGAUAUGUUUCCCCUCCAGGUGAGCAAAGCAGGAUGUUUGUCUUACAGCAGAAGAUGUAAAUCUGUGUUUACACAUCUGUGUGUACAUUAUCGCUGUGAGUUAUAGAAUAAAGCUCUGGAAAUAGCCAUAAAUUCAGCUCUGUGCUUUGGAAGAAUCAUUAGUGAAAAAGACAGUCCUGGGCACACAACAAUAUCUAGUUUCAAUUGAGUGAACAUCUGUAAUUUGUGUAAACAGAUGUGCAGCCUGAUUUUUCCACCUGCAGCUUUUAAUUAGAAAUGUGCACCUCCCUACUGGCUAAUUCUGUAAUUUAUCUACUUUGAGAUGAGGCUUUCAUUUGCACAUUGUUUGCAUAUUAAAUAAACUGUUUUGUUAUUGUAAUCCCAGGAAACUGAGCUGUGAUUCUCAGGGCCCAGGCUUUACCUGCACAACAGUGUAACAGCUUUGUAAAGCUACGCAAUCCUCAUCGAUUUCUGUCGUGCAUCUGAUAAAUUUUCCGAAGACAGCUCCUGUACCUGCAGUUUUAAAUGAGACGCUGAUAUAGAGUUGUUUAAGUGAUCAAAUUGAGUUGACUUACCUUAUUCUGUGCUCUUUGCACAAGUUGGAAAAUGACAGAAAAAACCCUGCCUAAAAAAGAAGAGAGUUUUAACACCUUACUCCUUACAUAUGAGCGAAACAUAUUUUGGGAUUUUCAUGUAUAUCAAAGUGUAUUCUGUGGGAGUUUCUCUCCUUAAAAAGCCAACUGUCCAAAAGUAGUCCUCCUCUGAGGAAUUAUAUCACUCUGGCAACAGAUGCAGUACAUCUGCUAUCAGUUGUUUUCAGCCUACCAAAAGCAGCACAAGGGAGUUCAAGCACCAAGCUUAGCCAUGUACAGUAUGAACAAGACAGACAUCCCAGGAUUAAAACAGGUUGACUGUGGAUUUAGGCAUUUACAAAUACACCAAAUCAAGACUCAUUAACAAUCCAGAGAAAUUGUAAUUUUGUUCAAAGACUUUGAAAUUAUUAACUGCUUCAACUGGUCAGCCAGGUCAACCAUAAUAAGUUUUAAUAAUAAGGGAAUUUUACUGCAAUUACUCAUACCUCUGCUGUAAGCUCUUUAUUCACUAUCUUGUUAGUUCCCCCGUCCCUCAGUCACUGUAUAAACGGUUAAAAGGAUGGAUCACCGUCUGAAACCAAAGGCUUUCGAGGACAUGUGUCAGUCUUGUACCACAUGAAGACUAUACCCAAAGUGUCAAUGCACAGCUUGACUUUUGAUCCGCUAAAGAAUCUCUCAUUAUUCAACUUACAGUACUAUUCAUGAUACUGCACUGUCAAGUGAGCUGCAGCAUUUAUAGUCGGGUUAUGAAUCUCAGUACAAAAUCAACAGCUAUUGAAAGAACAUUUCAUAACACCUGCCCUGCAUGUCACAUCUCUAAGCAGUCAAAAGGGUUUUUCCACUGCCUAAGUGUAAUAAAAAGCCUGACCUUGAUCAUCCCCUCAGAAGCUCAGAUAAAGAGCUGCUCAAAACGUAAAGAGCGAGGAUCCUCUCCUUGCCUUCUUUUUACUAAGCUGACAAGUCCUGAAUAAUGAUAUGGUAAAAUACUUUAGCUCCAUUUAAAGCCUUUUAUAAACCACUACUUGAAAAUAAAUGUUGUCUGUGCUCUUUUGAUCUCAGGGCCUUCUUUAAAAAAGGCCACAAGUGGUAUAAAUAAAUGAAAAUGGGAUUAUCCACAGAGGGGAAAAAAAGCAUGUUGAAAACUAAACCUUUUAUACUCAUUUGAUAAAAGUCACAAGAAUUGGUAUUAAAUGUUCUGCACUCAAAGCAAUUGUAUUUCAUGUCCCAUUCACUCACACACCUUCAUAGGCAAUAGGUUUGUGUAAAUCCUGCUAUGCAACUUGGAAGCAACUCAGCGUUCAGUUUUUUGCGUACACUUUGACUCACUGGUAUGUGCAUUAAAGGAGUUCAGCUAACCACCUACCUUAGUUUUGAGGAGACUGUUGAACUGGAGCAGAAGCCAGGAACAGGAGGAGGAUCAGGUCGAGACAGCAGGAGUGGUUUGCUUUAGCCAAAACUGCAGGGAUUAUGGAGACAUGAGUUACUUUGGCUGUAUAACUUAUUUGUAAAGUAGUUGUUCUUUUGUAGCUUAUACUAUAAAACAGAGAUGAGUGAGCGCAAAAGACUUCUCAGAAAGGCAGCUGAAGAGUACUUAAAUAAAUAAACAUACAAAUGCUAAGUUAUAUUAUUCAGCAUUUAUAUAAUUUUGUUUCUUUUGACAGUUCAUGUUUGUGGAAAGUCAUUCAAUUGCAUCGCACAGCCUUGUACCAUUAAAAAAAUUCCUGCAAUGUGGAAUUAUAAAAGGAUUUGAAAGUACCUCAUCUUUGUCUCAAGGGUUGAUCCAGGAUAUAUGUUUAUUUUACAUUUGGCGGCAGCUUUCUAAAGUUAAAUGUCUGUCAUCAAUCUUAAUGAACCACUUUCAUUCCUACUGAAGUACAUUUAUGUUUGGGAGGUUUUACCCUCCUGGUCCAACAGAUGGAGCUAGUGCUGCACAGCACAGCUCUGCUAGGCUUUACUGUCAGGCAUUGUCUCUCCAGAUGGUCGAAGUAAAGAAAAAGGCUUGUGUGUAUAUCUUUGCCAUGUAUUACCUUCUCAUUCUCUUUAAUCGGCUCUACUAACCCCUUAACUGUGCACUUCAAAGCAAAGCACAGCCAUGUUGCCAGCUUUAAGCUUGUAAGUGGGAAAAACACUUACUGUACAAACGUGCAUGUUGUUUGCUUCCAAAACACUAAUUGGUUGUAUGUUUUAAAAGGUGUAAAAUACAACAUUCAGUGUUGAAUAGGGUUGUUAAUUUGCUGUAGUCACGCUGCUUAGGGAGUUAAAUGAAUUGAUGGCAAAUUAGCAAUGUUCAGCCUCCCGCCUUGUCUCUUUACAUUAUGUAGUAAUAUGUCUGCGGUUUAAGAUGGUUUGUUUUCAUUAUGGAAUUUAUGUUAUGUGGCAAAUCUUGCACGGACUAACACACACACAAUACACGAAAAAAAACAAGCAAAGUCAAGGCACAUAUUUUACCUUUUUAUAGAGAAAGAUUUAUGCAUUAGUUAUUGGUGUUCAGUCUUUUGUACCCCCCCGCCCGUGUGUGUGUGUAAAUAUAUAUAUACACAUAUAUAAUAUAUAUAGAGAGAGACACUAGUAUGCAGUUACACACCACAUGACUGCAGUUUUGUAUGUGCAUACAUCUAUGCAUUUGGAAAAAAAAUAACUGAUUAAAAUUCUGACUGUGUCUUAUAGUCUGACAGGUUGGCAGCUGGGUAUUGAUCAGGCCACAUUGAUAUAGAAUCAUACAGUAGCAGUAACCACAGAUAUCAGAAGCAGUUAGACCCUUCCAGACAUUUCAUCCUUUUUUUUUUUUAAUAAGAAAAAUGAGGGGGGAUUUAACCAAAUAAAUAUAUCUGUAGUUAAAUAGGUAAAAAAAAAAAACAUUUUGCCUUAUGUGAAACUCAGGUAGGCCUUGAGGGGUUUGCAGUGUCCAUGAGCAGCUGAUGAAAUCACAGCUGAAAAUCAAAUGUCAGAGUGCUUAUCUGUUUGAGUGUUUAGAAAAAAGUUAUGUGAACUGGAGUGAUGUGACAUAUCCGAGAAGCCUUCAUUAUAACUGUGCACAGUAUGUACUGUCUAGUCUUUAUUUUGUGAUAAGGAACAACUUCCUAGUCAGACAGAGCAACUGGGUGUGAGAAUAGCUGUGAAGGAUUCUGUGACUGCUGCGUUUGAUUUGCUUUUGCUGUUCAUAUUGUUUUUUCGCAUGGAAACAAACAAGCUGAAGAAGCCUUGUGACAAUCCUACAAAGACUGACUUUGGUGUUUUUCCGUGCGCUGCUAUCUGAUGCAAAAUGUGACGUGCUUUGUUUUGCAAUCGCACAUUUACGUGCACAGCGAGAGGACAAAGCCUUCAGAAUCUGAUUGAAAAGAUUUGUUUUCUGCACUUUUCAAUUACCUCUUACUUGACAUUGGAGCCCAUCUCCCACACAGUGUGCCAAUCUAAAGAUAGAGAGAAAAAGAGCAUCAGUUGAAAUGAAAUAAAAAACAUAACACCCCGUUGACACAUAGUAAAAGGAGGUGUGCUUCGUUUUCACAUAAGUGACAUAUCUGAAACAAUAGGUGAGAAUGUGUCUGUUAGAGCUCAAAACUUCUCGAUAAAGAGCCAGCUCUCCUGCUGGCUGUUGUCCUUAUGUUUGCAUGAGCAGGCAAUGGCACUGGUGCUAAAGGCUUAACCCAGUUUCUUAACUGAGUUCAAAAGCAAAACUCCCUGUUGUACUUCCCCCACUUGCAAAGCACCAUAUAUUCAGUAAUUAAUGCAAGACUAUCAGAGGCAAAAACAUUUUAGUUGGUCUAUUUUGCAUGUAUGGCCUCGAUGAGAAAAAGAUACUAAAAGUGUCCUUGAAGUGAUAGAAUAUGGACUGCAGAAGCUUCUCACAUAGCUAUUGAUAUGCACAACACUGUUUUUUUUUUUUUGUCUUCCCACACCAGAGACCUCAACUUCUGCUUUUAUAAUGAACCGCCCACCUCAAUCAAUGAGUUAAUUAACAUAUUCUAGACUUGCUCCAAGGAGUGUUGACGAAACUUAACACCAAUCUUUAGCUGCAGUCGGUUACUCUGCGGAAUGAAGACAGUUCCCAAGGUCGUACUAAUCAGACAACUGAUUCAAAUUAUACUCUGCCUAAAGGGCUCUAAAGCAGCAUCAGCAGAGAGUCCACUAACAAUGAAUGUUUAAAGUACAAAAAAAAAAUGCCAUUUUACACUCGGAUGCUCCCGUCCUGUUUGUCAAACUAAGCUGUUUUCUAAAAUUUGCUUUUCUUAAAAUGUCACGGCGGAGCUCAUGUGCAGCUUUGUUUAGAUUGCAACAAAAUCUACGCCCUCUCAGACUAGCUCCUCUGAGUGUGCAGUGCAGACUUAUUCUCUUGCUUGCAGAAAUGGGUACAUUAUGCUUAAUUUGCAGAAGAGAAGUCGAGGGAAUCAGUUACCAAUCUUGCUUUGAAGUGCCUCUCAGCCCCGGCUUCUUUCUUGCCAUCACCUGCACCAUGCUGCCCUCUGUCAGACUUAAUUGUUCUUUUCUCUCAAUAACCUCAUAGACGCCUUCUCUCUUUAUCCCUCACUCGCCGCUCUCUUUUGCUCUCUAACCCGUUCUGUCACUAAUGCUUACCCUUUAGGAGGGUUUUCUUUGCAUCAUCUGACAACCCCUCUUAGCGCCGAGAGCAAGGGAAGUAUAAGGCAGUAUCAUAGGCUUACACUUGCUCCAAUAAGCAUUCAGUUGAAGUACUUAAAUGAUGAAAUGCCAUAAUUUCUGGUGGUUUUUUCUCAGCUUCAGGGGGGAAGAGUUGAGGUCAUGGUUUAGUUUAGAUGUUGAGUAUUUCAAUUGCCUCUUUAAUUUUUUGAUUUUCCUUUUUAAAUCGCUGUCUGCCUGUCUGUGUUAGGUUUUCAUCUAGCAGAGAAACAUGGAUUGGUCUGUCAGCAACCACUGAUGGGUAUCCACUGUAAACUUGAAUGCGUUUUUGUCUAUUAUUUGUACUGAUGCUGUCUGUCUUGUGGACUGCUGUGACAAGUGACAGCUGAUUCCUUUCAAACGAACAAUAAGGAUUUGAUCAGAGUGUGAAGCAUGGAUAUAAGAGACUUAAAAAGAAUGUUUGUCAUAUUUAUUUUGCUUUGAAUUUCAGGAAACGUCCCACAGAAGUGCCCCUUAAUACAGCUUCAUCAUUGUCUGUUGACACUUGAAUCAGAAAGGCAGAGCUGCGGUAUGCCGUCAGGCCACAGAAAGGGCAGAUCUGAGUGUGAUUGGGUGUGCCUGGUUGGUGUGUUUCAGUGUGUGCAAGGGCAAAAAUAAUCGGAAUAAAGACCUGAUUGGAAUAAAAAUGCGCCAUGUAAACAUGUCAAUCGCAAGAUUCUGGUCCAAUACGGUUAAAUCGGAAAAAAAUUCUACUCUGAUAGAGAGGGGUGGUUUAUACCGAUCAUUAUUCCAAAACGCGUCCAUGUAAAUACUAAUUCUGAUCUUGGCUCUCUUACCAGACUCGGUCUUCACCCUGUAUUUAUUGAGGCCAGUACAGGAGGUUUCAUUAUUAACAUUCUGGCAUAACACUGCUCCUCCGGUAACAUAACAAGGCGUACAUACAGCGUAAUGAUGUCAUAUCUGCACGCACAGUGCAACCUUUGCCAGAACAGUAAAAUAAGUAAGCAAGGGUUAGCCUGGCUUGGCCACCCUGUUGCGUGAAUCAUUUGCCGUUCCUUCCCACAACAGUCUGGACUUCGGCCCAUUGGGAGCGUGUAUUAGAAAUCAGAAAAUAACCAGGCCAAUCAGUGACUGUGUUUCAGAAUUCGUUCAAAUCCGACGGGUCUAGACGAUUUCUGCCGACUUUGCAAAGUCAACUGCGGAAUUAACGGCAUUCUGAAUGAACGGCAGCAUGUGUUAGAUGUCACCAUCUACACAUGGACCAAUCAGUGGCUGCCUUUCCCUGUUAUCCGGGUAACAGUGGAAACACAGUCACUGAUUGGCCCGCUUAUUUUCUGAUUUCUAAUACACGCUCCCAAUGGGCCGAAGUCCAGACUGUUGUGGGAAGGAACAGCAAGUGAUUCACGCAACUGGAUGGCCUUGCCAGGCUAAGCAAGGGCGCCAUCUAGUGACAACAUUUAACAGGGGGAAAACUCCUGUAUUGGAUAAAGUGAGCCACUACCACGUUUUGUUGGUUUGUUGACGGCACAGGCGUAAAUACAGCUCUUCUUCUUCUGCGGUUGUUUUAGCGAAAUUAGACGACUCUGCGCAUGUCCAAAUACUUCUAAUCUGAAUAAAAGCUUGGAGCAUGUAUACACACGUCAUGAUCGGUAUAUUUGAUAUUGCACCCAUAUGAACAGUGAAUUCCGAUUUUCUGAUCCCUCAAAUUUUUAAUCGGAUCAAGGAAUUUUUCCCAUGUAAACAUAGCUUAUGUUACAGAAAAGAAAAACCACUGCAUGCAAUAGAUUAUAAAGCUAAUUUUGGAUAGCUAGUGCGAUAGACCGAGAGCUAUUUUUGGUGGCAACGUUUUAUUUUCCUGACUGGUUUUCAAAGGCAGGGUCAUUGUCAUUGUAAACACAGGAAUGCAGAGCAGUUGAAAGUAAUAUGUAUUGUGAGUAAAUGUAAGAGUGCCACCAACAAAAAUGACCUGGACACCUGGGAGUAAUCUCCAUGAAUGGUGGGAAAAAUCUGUAUUAGGCACCACAAUAGAAACUGGGGCUGGGAUUUUUCGGAAGCAUGUAAAACCAACCAAUUUCGUGAUGUUUUAGUUCUGUAUAGGCCCAUGGCUCCAUAUGCAAUGUACCCGCAAAGAAAAGGAGUCCACAAAAGCAGCUCACAAUAUUAUCACAGGAGCUGUAUUCUCUGAUUUCAAACUCAGGGUGCUAUAAUGUUGGCUGAAAGGAUACCUCUUACAUUCAUUUUCACUUUUCAUUAUGUCAGUCCAGCACACCUAUGGAGUAGCUCUGCAUGAUUUGCAGCUCAGAAAAGUUCUUAUUAAUCUUACACUUAUGGCAAUGAAAACCCUCACAGCACUAUUCAGCCUCGGCAUGAAAAGUCAUUUUUCCCCCUGCUUUUCUUGUGAUAUUAAGUAAGACACAGAGUAUGAGUGUUUCUUUUCACACAGUUUUGCUAUAACAAAACUGUGUCCUUGCAGAAAAUAUCUAAAAGCUAGCUUUUAGCACCCACAUUGCUCCUAAUUUAGCCUGUUUAGCAUACGCUAGCUACUGUAACAUUAGCUGCUAGUCUUCAAGGAACAGCCUCAAGGUUCAGUCAUGAAUGAGAUUUAGAUCCAGCUCAUACUGGAGUUGUCAGUGAAGUGGCGUGCAUAAACAGCUUGCCAUCUUUAGACAAAGUAAGUAGCUGUCACUGUCCUUAACAUUAUAUAGCACUGUAACAUUUUAUGUAUCUACUUUAGUACAGAUCUGCAUAAUAGGUCUGCUUUAAUGAUGUACCAAGAAAAGGCAGCUUAUAUUAGAGGCUGCAUGCCAUGUCUUAUUGGAUAAACACUACUUUAUCUGAAAAUGUUGCUACAUAACCAUUUUUUUUUUGUCAUUUUACAAACAAAAAGAUUAUUGAUACUUGAAAUCUUUUUCAUAGGACAUAUGACCAUGAUUUUUGGUAAACCAUUAGCAACUAACAUUAGCAUUCAGCUAUAAGUUAGCAUCAUGUUUGAGAGCAUUCCUUGCUCGUUUUACUUUAGAUACUUGAGUGUGUACCACAGUGGAGCAGUAAUAAUAGCUUUAACUUUUAGGUUAUCUGGCAAGUGGCUGAAUGAAAGUUAUAGCUGUUGCCAAACAGCAGCGAGCUGACGGGAGAAACCCACAGGAUCCGGAACGGGUCUGCUCCACUCCAGCAUGGCAGGCGGAUCAAAUUCGCAAGCAUUAUGAUCAAUCUGUGUCAUUCCACAGAAUCCGUCUGCCGUCCGGCUCCGUUGCGGAUCGGCUCCGCUGCAGAUCAGCUCCGGCGGCCGGUUUAGAUAUGCAAGGCUUCUAUUUUUGCCAGACGCUGGAGCACAGCGCAUCAAUUCCGUGCAACGCAGCACGAGCAGCAGCGGAAGUUGUUUGCGGCUACAGAGUAAAAUAUCUGGUUUAUUUUUUUAAUAAAAUAAAGUCAAUACGUUGAACGGUUCUUAGCUCGAUAAUAGGAGAGAGGCCAGGGUUGUGGGAUGUGGGUGUUUAUAUAAACCGCUGUUUACACUGCAUAUACCAAUCGGCGGAUCUCAUUCAAUGUCUCACGGGGAAACACGCAAGAUCUAAUGAGAUCUCGUACAGUCUUGUGAUUAGUAUCAGUAAUAUCGUGAGAGCUUCUCCUCCAAUGACGGCAGUGGAUUGGAUUUGGUGGGCACUGCAUGCUUGCGUAUUUUAUCUGCCUGCCGGUCUGGAGCGGAGCGGAGCUGUUCCGGAUCCAGUGGGAUUAUAGUAUAAUCCGAGGGUUUAGUAAUUGUCUCUUUUACGUUGAGUCGCAACAAUUUCAUUUAAGAAUCAUAAUCUGUUUUUCUUUUAUUGGAAGGUCUCCAAUUAUAUACAGCUUCCAAACCUGGAACAUACCAGUGCUAUUCAAAAAAAACAACAUUAGUUUUCCAACCUUUAGCUCUAAACUUUAAAUCAUCAUCAACAAUUAAUGACAGAUUAUGAACUCUUUAUUACAGGAACUUUGAAAUGAGUGUGGCAGAGUUUUAUGAACGUGGCCAAGCUUUAUGAGUGUCUACGGAUCGAAAAGUCUGCUGCGAUGUUUAAUUUUCAUGUUAUCAAGGAGGUGUGAGGAGAGGAGUGAAAGCUCUGGGCUGUGUCAUAAAAAUGCCAAGGCUGAGGCAUUGACAGUGAGUAGAAAAAUAAAACCUGUGCUCAGUGUAAUGCAGUCUGAAGCCACAGGCCUUCAAAACUACCUUGCCUUUAUAAAACUUUUAAUUGUCUGUUUUUUUUUUGCCGAGAUUGUUCAUGUAACUCUUGCAUACUUUAAGAGACAAGUUUUGGAAAUAGUCAGACUAAAUUGUUCGCAGUUUGGAUUGGCAGUUUUUAAUCAAUACAAUGCCACAAAGUAUGUGAUCAAAGAUUAACAAAGAACUGAACAAAACUGAACAAAAAAGAAAUCUUUCUUUCUUUUUUUCUUUGAAGAAUUCCCAGACGUCUUUUGUGUUUCCUUGGAUUUCUGAUGACUCACCUACAGACUCAGCUCAGUUCACGUUCAGAGUUUUACCUGAUAAAAAGGUCAAAAUGAUCCAGACAGUUGGCCCAGUGAUUGUCUACCUGAUACUUUUGUUGGUAGAUUUGAUUAGAUGAGCAUCAAACUUUAACCGACCCUACUUUAAGGGAAAGGCUCUGAUACCAUUUAUCAUCCGUUCAUACAAGCUGUUUGAUAGUGACACUAAAUCUUUCAUCACCCCCUCCACUCCCUCAACCCUUUUUAAGUUUGUGUUUUUAAACACGCUGGCUGGGAGGAGCAGCACAAAUCGCUGGUGUUAUUUAAAACCCCUUUGAGGAGUGUUGGGAAGGUUUUGAAGCAGACUGAAAUUAAUACUAAUGCCGCUAUUUGACCUCCCAAAGAAAAUGAAUACGUCAGUCAAGAAUAAGUAUUUCCUUCUAGUUUUUUACCGCCUAUGGUGGCUGGCAAUGGGUUGGAGUUAGAAAGCAUCCUACUGAAACAGCCUGUCUUUUAAGGCAUUUAAGGCUAUAAAUAGGAAAUAUAAGAUUUAUUUAUACAUCAUCAUAGAUCCUGCAUUAUAAAAUUCUUUCACAUUCCUGUGUUGUAAAAGGUAAACCAGUUUUUUUCAACAACACAAUUGAAUUUGUGUUUUACUACCUUUACUGUUCUGCUGAGAUGGACCUUCACAGGUCAGCUGGUAGCACAAAGAGUCUCUAAUUGAUCGAUAUUCAGCAUGGUCAGAAAUGACACUCUUUUAUUGAAAUGUAUCCAUAAAUUUUAGCUGGUAAAUCACAUAUUAUCUUUGUUUUGAUGUAUUAGAUCUGUACAGUCUCUGAAAACACACUGAUUAUCUCUGUGGGAUAGAAAUCCCUUGAUGUCUAUGAUACACUUUGAGCAGUAGAGCUGCCAAUCUCACACAGCAGGUGGAUUUUAACAAUAGCAGUGAAUCAUACCAUUCUAUAUUGAGAGUUGUUAAUGUAAGGAUAUGCUAUUUAAGACAGCAGUUUGUCUUCAAGUUUUUGCUCGUCAUUCCUGUUGGCUGCCUUUUGUGAUGGGUCGCGUCACUGUGUUGCAAAGCACACAACCGAGUGGAAAGCAAUAGUAAGGAAUAAGCAUUGACACGCAUUAUAAUGAUGGCUCAAAAUAGCUUAAACUGUUCUCAACUGGAGCCACUUUCACAGUUUACAUCCCUACCAGUAACACCAAAAUGGUUGGAGCCCUGAAAAGGGGGGGUAAGCACAUGUCCUACAACUAGCUGAAGUUGCUCAGACAGUUUUAAAGGUUGGUCACUACUGGAAAAGUAAUACUUGUACACAUUUGUAUAAUCAGCAGACGACUUGAAUGAAAAGUUAAUCCUUUUUAACAACAUUCCAGAUUUGCUUGCUGCUUUAAGCCACAACACUGAGUCUGAAUCUAACUUAAAUGUAGUCAGGUAGGCAUUUUUAUUCUUUUCAGCCUUCCCUUUUUGACAUGCUUUGACCUGCAGCGUGACUCUUAUCAUAUUCUCCAUUUACUACUGUCAUCCAUCUAUCCAUCCAUUUUAAACACCGUUUACCCUCAGAGGGCUGUGUGGAGCUGGAGCCGAUCCCAGCUUACUUUGGGUGAGGGGGGGGGGAUACACUCGGGACGGCUGCCAGUCAAUCACAGGGCUGACAGAUACAGACAGACAACCAUUCAAACUCAUACGUUUACUAUCAACUCGGGCCAUCAGCUAUCCUAACCUUCCAAACUGAACUGCUCUUCUACAGCCGGGGCUCUCAAUUAAGGAAUGAGCUGUUAUCUGCAGCUUUUUUUCCCCCAAUCCAAUAACACAGUAAAAAUCUCACAUUUUCAGAGCAUUAUAUUUUCUAUGAAGAGUAUCAAGGUAGUUAUUGUAUACAGAAAGUAAUGUACUACACCCCACUGGUUACUUUUUAGAUAAAUGAUAAAGUUACAGAGCUGGUUAUACCACUUUUUUCAAUGCUACAGAACAGAUGUGCCACUUAAGUCAUUUCACAACAUAAACCAAGAUCAAUAUAACAUCAGUACAAAAAAGAAGAAGGACAUACACAGGAGUUCUCUUUUGUGAAGGCAACGGUAGAGAACAAGUAAACUGCACUGCUUUUGUUCCUGCCUGUUGAUGAAAAUCAAACCAAGGCUGCUUGGCCAGUGUCUGCAUCUUCGUCAUAUCUUCAUCUUCACUCAGGGUCUGUAACCACGAGCUUUGUGUAAGCAUGUUGCUUUUGCAGGUGUUUGGGAAACAUUGGUGGCAAUAGAAGCAGUGGUAAGUUGUUUUCAACAUCAGUGUUUCCCCUACAUUUAUUCCGCUGCUGAAUUACGUACACCGCUACUGAAAUUUCACAUGAUCAUUCAUAUCAAUGCGCCACGUAUGACAGUGGCGGUAACAGUGAAAAUCCCUGCUUUGUCCAUAGGGGGCGCCAACAUUGAAAGAUACUGAAAGAUCCUAACAGGAGCUUCAACCAAGCUGUCGGAAGUAUAGCAUCAUCCUCGAGAUAAAACAGAGAAAUACAAUAAAAUACCUCUCUGCUCUUAAGGCUGGUGUGUUGAUCACAUUGGUUUACAGGAUGCAGUCCACUAUAUAGAGAUAAAAACGAAGAAAAAAGAAAAUCAGCCUGUCAUUUUCAGGAGUCUGAAGUCGUUUUCUUUGCUGCUUAAUAUGGCAGCACCUGACCUCAUUCAGUGUUAUAUUUAAAUCUGACUUAUAUCUGAUUGCAAAGCAAUUGUACUCCUUUACAGCCAAAGGGUAAUUGACCCAUGGAGCAACAUUCACUGGCUGCAAAAUAAAACACUGCAGGCAUGAUGACCUCUGACAGAAACUGCAACACACUGUUGUUUGUAAUUGUGAGGAAACCAUCCAUUUAGACUUUUCCUGUAGGCUUCAAAUAAGCAGCUAGAAAAGUGCAUUCGGCAGAGUGCAGAUCAGGGUGCAGGUGUGUCUGGGGGCGUGUGAGUGGAAAACAGUAACCUCUUUACCCCUUCGUCACCCCAAACAAAGAUGAGUUGAAUCUCACUUAAUUGUCCCUCCCGGCUCCCAGACAGUCAGGAUGGCAGUAAAGAUAACAAAAAUGGGAUAUACUUUUCCGUAUCACGCCUUGUGCGAGUAUAUCAUAAUCAUGAGCUGCAUAUAAAAAAGUCACCUCAGUUGUAUUGCGCAGCAACAGUAAGGGAUCUUUACAGAAACAGUCAUGCAUGUGCUGAUAAAUAUUAGACCCAUGGGUGCCGUAGAAUCUAGGAUUAGAUGUUGACUGUGCAGGCUGAGCAGGAUGUAUGGAUUGGAUAUUGACAUGCUCGUGUUACUAAUGGCAAACAUCAAACCAACAUUCAAUUGGGCAUUUUAGAAAUUGUUUAUCGCCAGAACCUCAAGGGUUGUUAAGUGUGCGGGCUUAUACCUGCGUAUGUGUGAAGUGUAGGUAUUGAGAUUUGACAUCCUUUGAAAAGGAAGUGCACUGUUCUUUGUAUAUUAUCACUAUGAGUGGUAGUAUGUCCAGUAGUAAAGAUUGACAUUCACGGUGUAUAUGAUUACAUUAGGCUUUCAGUUUUUCCACUUCCACAAUGUAUUACACAGAGUGACACACAACUGGAGUGGUAUGAUAAUAAGAGACUUGGGUCUUCAGUUGUCUGACUUGUGUUCGACCCCUAUUUACAUAACAACAGUAAUUAGAUCAGCCUUCCCACUCAGCAUCAGGGUCACCUGGUCAUCUGACUGUCUUCUGGGCAGAAAGUAUUGGAUACAGUUUUACAUUCAGUUCUUGCAAUAAAACAAUAUGAGAGAAUCAAAAGCAUUUGGAAAACUACAGAGGCAUUAGAUCAAAUCUUGUUGCAUGUUAAAGUGAACUUACAUUUUGAACUUAAUGGGUGAAUAUUUCAUGAAAAUCUUCUCUUCUCAUGUUUUUUUAUGAAUGUCAGUUUUCCAUCCAAUGCAAACCAUGUAAGCUCCAUAAAAUGCUGCACUGCUUCUCAAACUGAAUAAAGGUUCAGAUUAAGAACAAAUUGCCCCUCAAUCGAAGGGUUGGAGGUUCAAUCCCAUGUAGGGUUACCCACACUCUUAAGUGUCCUUAAGCAAGUAGGCCAUCUAACCCAAAAAUGACCACCCCACUGAUGUGUAAAUGGGUCAGUGGUGAUGGGUACUUUACAUGGCAUCUACCAUUAGUAUGUAAGUGCAGUGCAGACGGCUGAAUGUGACAAAGGGUCUACCCACACAUCUAAACGUGAUCAAUUUGUGAUCAAUCACAAGGUAACUGGUGCUUCAUGAUGUACUUUUGAAAUAAUGUCAAAACACUGUUUGAAGUACACAUCUAUUGACAGGUUAGGCGUUCAUUCUACAGCAAUGUUCAGUAUGAAGAUUAUGUACGAUAUAAGGCUUACAUACCAUACUACAUGUGUCUAGCUAAUUGCAAAUUAAUUAACACCAUAGUCUGGGACCAUGUUUUCUACAUCACAUGCUGCCCUACUUGAAAAAAUAUCCGGUGGAAGACAAACCAACACAGAACGCUGCAGACGUCAAAUUAUUUCCUUAAAGACCGACGUCGAUGAAAAUCAUGUUUUUUUCAUGUUGUCUUUAUGUUCAUAUGACGUUUUUCUGAUGCAAGAGGACAUAUCAUGAGAAACCUAAUUGCAAAAUUGCAUUUCUGAGUAUUUCUGCAUUCAAAUCCCUGUGAACCUCUGGCAGACCUAAAUGGCAUGAUCAGACACAGUGGAAUUUCCUUCAUCACAACUGCAUGCUCCACCUCUGGUGUCCUGCUCUGAGAAGUAGAGUGGACGAUGGCAGAACAAGUGUGCAGUAGUGGAUUGCAAUGCUCGUAAGUAAGCUAAUUAUUAGCUUUCAUAAUGCCCCCCAACGACAUUAGUGCCUGAGAGAUGAAUAGCUCCUAUAUUACCUGCCACUUCUACUACACCGGCAAUGUUAGGCUACAAGCUAACAUGAAGAGGAGUGUGCAAAGCACCACUGUCGCCACCCAUGACUCUGAGGCCCAUUGCUAAUGAGCUACUGGAGCACUCAAGAAGAAGCGCCCUUGAAAAUGACACAGGUUGGUGAUUUUGGAUAAAAACUUAAUAAUCACAAUUUAACAACCACUGAGAGCACUUUAAAUAAAAAAAAUAGUACUGGAGUGGGACUUUAGGUAUCUCAAAAGCCAAAGAAAAAACAACCAUCCAAUAAAUACCUGAUGGUAGCGUAACAGUACCUGCCCCUAUGAAAUCAAAUCCCUUCUAAUUAGUUAAAUAACGAUUAAUGAGUGAUUUCAAAUUGAUUUACACAAUACAUGCAACCACAUCCACUGAUUAGGGACUAUUUCAGCUUGAUUUUUUUCACAUGCUCAAAAUAGUAACAUUUUACGGAAAUAUUAAGGCACCACUUGCUUUUCACCUCAGUCGGUGUUUAUGGGUUAGUAGGCUUUUAACAUAGUGCUAGAAAGGUAUUUUAUGUUAUAUUCUGCAGACUGAGGUCAGCGGCUAAAUCCUCAGGCGACUCGGCCAGAUGCUCAAGCAGCAUGGCUGCAUUUACGUGUUAUGUAGGCAGAAGGUGAUAAUAUAGCAUUUGUAUAUGACACCAUAUAAGUUUAAUGCUGUGCCUUGGCAGUAAAUAUCUAACAGAUUCAGUUUCAUCUACAGCUUAAUGGCGGGCAUGGGUCACCAAGGUAAGCUUUUAGCACCGGAGCUGACAGGCAGGAUGAGCUUAAUGGACUGGAGUUCCUUCUUAAGCAAAGUGCACAGGCGGAGGAGCUGGGCUGGGCCCUGCUUGAUUGGCCAUGACCUGAGGAAUAACACAGUGUCAAGGAGGCUGCUAUGUCUUGUUCAUGACUCAACAGAGAGCAAGAGCGAGAAUGGUUUUCACUCCUGAUUACCAUGUUGAAGUCCUCGUACCAACACCAGCACCCACCCGCUCAGUUCUGUAAGGAUUUGGUACUUAAUGAGGCAUGCAAGGUAAUUAGCAGUGACAGAAGCCUCAACGUACACGUACUGUCUUCAUCUUCCUUUUACUCUUAUCCCCUUCUCAUCUUCAACUCUUUUAUUCCCCCUUGUCUUUCAUCCUGUCUCCAAUUUCUUACGUCCCUUUCUUCAUGCCAAACAAACACAGCCUUAUAUUUGUCAAGAGGCCGAGUACAAUCAAAGGCACCGGAGCCGUAAACACACGUGACUGUAGUAGAUAAAGAGAAGACAGACAGAGGGAAAGUCAUCCUGUGAAGUAGGCACUCAAUUGAUGGACAGGUCUUGCACUUACUACCAAUGAUUAACUGCAGAACACUGACAUAUUUUUUACAGCUCCCAUAAGAGACUCAGUCAAGGUGAACGCUAAGACAUGAUGAAACUUGAGGCAAUCUGACCCCCAGCAGGUGAAAAUGAGGAAGCUGUCCUCUGUCUGAUCAAUGCUAACACACUCAUUUUGCCAUUUGCUGCAAGACAAAGCCCAUUUUUUCCGUGAUAUGAGAAGGUGAAAGAACAUUUUGUGACCUGCUUUAAAACAUGAAAUUUGGAAGAUACGCAGAAAGCAGCGGAGCACAGCUUCUCACCUUGAGGCAAGAAGUUUAUAGUCCUUCUCUACCUCCCUUCAGUGUGUAAAGUUCACCUCCCAACACUUGCCACUCAUCCUGAUGGGCUGUCUAAGUUGAAAUGGCAUGUAGCCUGAGGCUGAGGUAACAAGUAAAUAAAAAGCAACUGCAAAUGGAGAGGUAAGAGUUCCACCAUAAAACCAAAUGCCACAUUUACCUCUUUUCAUUUUUAUUGAGUUUGACUGUAAUAUGUUCGACUACAUGUUUCUUUUAUCGCUCUUUGCUCUCUUUUUUCAAACAAUAUGGUUUUUCGGGGCGGGGGAGACUUGAAAAGGCAAGCCUUCACAAUAAAGAAACCUCUAACAAAAUAACACAUUCAGUAUUUUUUUUUUUUUUUUUUUUUUUGACAGCAACAAUUUAUGUUGUGCUCUCACUUCACAACCCUACCUUGUUUUUCCAUAUUGACGGUACGGUGAGUUUUUAUUAAAAAUAUCUCAAGGCAGUUGGAAUUGGCAGGGCUGAGUGUGGAUAAAAACGUCCUCUGCACAUGGAUGCUCUCUAUCCUGUGCUCAGAUCCUGUAACAAGAGAGGAGGUCUAAACCACAGAGCUGGUUAGUCACGCGGACGGAUAGUCAGAGGUUGGGGAAGGCAGGGGAUCGACUUAAAGGUGUGAGGGUGAUAAAAGGUGCUGGAAGUCAAAACUGGCUUAAAGUGGUGAUCUGAAGUAAGCCUCUGGACUGGCCUUGUCCAGUGCUCAUUCCUGCUUCCAUCUAACAAUCCAGCUAUUGAUUCUUUGUUUCUUAAUGAGUUCUUUUGGGCCGUGUGGGAUUUCUGUCUGGCGCUCUUCCACUCGCUGUCUUUUCUUGAUGAGAGUGUGGUGCUGUUUUUCCUCGCUUUAAUAUGUUGUCCUGAAAACCUUCCGCUCAUACACAUUUUGCUCGUUAGCUUAAAUAUAUUAAUAUAUUUGUCAGGCAGGGUUUUGUUUUCAAAGGGAAAAAUACAUUUUCACUGUCUACCAUGUUUUAAAACUGGCUGUACUUUCUAUACUCCGCUGAAAUGUUUAUGCAUAUCUUCUAACUUUUUUUUUAAUAUAAAAACAUUUGUUAUUGCUACCAAAAAUAUUUACAUUGUGACAGUAUUAUACAAUGUCACAUAACCAGAGUUUUGAUUUUUUUUUAACAUAUACAGUGCAUGAUUUUAUGUGGACCAUUUUGAGUGGACUAUCAUUUGCAAGAAAAAAGUUAGGUGACAGUGUUGAGGGCUAAAUGCCAUCUAGACCGCAGCUCCCUGAAUUUGCUGUACCAAGAACCCUCAUAUAGACCUAGCCUCUUUUGUCUAUUUGUCUUUUCUAAAAUAACAUCGUAGUCCUGUAAUUAAUUCAUUUUAUGUCAACAGUCUCAGAAUUUGUCCACAGUCUAAACCCACAACACCAUGACAGAGAUGUGUAAAAAGUAAAAUGCAGACUUGUCAGGAGAAGAGAACGUAACCUAGGGGAGAUCGAUCAAGAAAACUUUUCACUGACUAGCUUUUACAGCACAGGCGCAGACAGAUCUGACACCUGUGUUAAUUUUCAGAUCUAUAACAUUUUAUUUGCUGCGCUUGCGUUCAUAUAUCUCUAAAUAGAGAUGCUAGGGUAAGGGUGUUAUUAGAGGGUGUGCAUUCAUGCCUACUUUUGCUAAACACAGGCUUUAUUUUUCCUUUAUAUACCUAAACCUACUGAAACACGACUGGUCAGUACUACAGUACAAAAGAGUAUUACCAACAUACAACAAAUGGAAACCAGAACGUACCCCAUGCUGAAAAUCCAGACCCUGCUACAAAUAACUGCAAAUAAAUAUGACCUAUCAUUAAAGAUUUAUAACUUGUAGUUACCAAAGAAAAAACACUGAGCUCUGAAGCCAAGUAUAUUUAUAACCGGCUGCUCUUUAUGAGUCUUGAUUUGGAAACAUUGUGUAUGUACCUUAUUACCGUUGGCUCAUUAACUAUAAAUAAUUAAUGACUUCUCUUCUUAGCACUGUUAAAUUCCCAGGACACCGCCUUGCUGGAGUGUAUUCCCUUAAGGGCACAUCAAUUUACAUAAGACUUUGAAAAAUAAAGGGAGAAAAAAAGAAAGGAUUCUCCUGCAUGAUUCGUCCAUGCAUUGGUGGCUUUGGUGAGAUUGCUUGGCUAGCUUGGCUUCUCCUGGCAACAAGGUGAGUCUCUUGAAUUACCUGCAGCCCUCAUCUAUCCAUUUCUCUGUCUGUUUCGCUUCAUGACAGUUGCCUAGGGUUACAGCACCGCUCCAGAAAACAUUUUUUUAAUGCUUUGCACACAGAGUAGGUCAGGAAACCCCCAUUGUGCGGCGGAUGAUUCAUCUACGCAUCUAUAGACACAUACAUAUAGUUUAACCCUAUGAGUUAUUUUUAUUUAUCUAUCUGUAAGCAACAUUUCUCCUCCCUAACCUCCCCAAACUGCCGUCUCUCUGUGUACCACUCUGCCGCGGUACAGACGAUCUCUGCUCCCUUGACUCACCAUCUCUGAAACACAGCACCAUAUGACAUCUUAUGACAUCUCCUCUGCCUCUGGUUUGUGUCAGCAUGGCUAUGCGGACACGAGUCAAUGAACAAGCCCUGACCACUGAACUGUAAAGUCUUUGGGAACCCCUGUAGGGGUCUGGUGCUGGAGGGGCAUGAGCCAGAGCACAGGGAUGAGCCAUCAACCAAAACAGCUGGAUGCACCUUGUGUUUUGACAGCUUAAAGUGAUCACCAUCACCUUCGUGUAACUCAAACUAGGACAGAGAAGGUGGUUUGUUAGCUUGUUAAGGAGUUGGGUGAAUGAAUCGUAGAUCAAGGAUCUUAAUAAUGUAGGUCAGAACCUGUGUGCCAUAAAAAAUAGAUGGGAAAUUAAGAUUUUUUAUUGUACACAUUCAAAAACCGUCUCUCCAGACGCUGUAAAAUUAAUAAAGAACUGUGACAGUAAUGAGAAAAUAGGACUAGAAAUUAUCAGUGAGAAUGGUAUGAGUAUUAGUGUGAUUAUUAGGGAGUAUUUGUUGGCCUACAUGACUUGGAAAUUUGUUUAUCUUCAUUGAUUUCAAUCGUUACAACACAUACUUAUUCUCCUGGUUCUUGAAGCCCCUGAGAUUUCACUGGUUAUGAAACAGACUCAAAAUUGUCAGCGGCACCUCUUUAUGACUUACAAAAGCGAACCAGACUACUGGCAAAAAGAUUGACAGCUUCUAUUUCAUAAUCUUUUAUGCCGAGAGGGAAGGUGAAGACAAAGUGAUUCACAGCAGAGAGGGGAAAGGCUUUUAUUAUACACUUUUCUACUUCGAUAUCCAAAGUGAGUGAUAGAUUUGACUGUAAGUGAGUUAAUUUUUUUUCUGUCAGAAAACCAGACUUACAAACGCACUGGACAAAAUCAGUACAGAUAUGUGGUGUCCCAUUAGCCCACUUGGGUCACCACAAAUAGAAAUAUCCUCACAGUCUGUAAAUAACUCCAAAAUGAGGUAAUUAAAAGCUCCUUCAUAUGUGGAAAUCAUGCUUAAAAGCAGCAGUAUGUGUUUCGUUUUGAUUCUGAACUGCUGAAAACUUUAUGUUCUUGACAAGGCAAAAACAAUCUGGUCCAUUUUGACACAGGCUGUCUUUUUCUUCAGGGGAGGUAUCUUGCUUGGACCUUGCAGACAGUCUCUGGAUGUUUUCCUGUUGAUGAAUCUAAGUGAAGACAACAAGCUGCUCUCCGCUGUCUCUGCCGCCCACCACUAUCUGACAUGCUGCUAAUGAUGCAGGUGUGUGACUGUUGUACAGUAAUAAAGGUCUUGCUGAAGCCAGAGUUACGUGUUGACAUUCUAUGCAUGAUAAAGACUCAAUGUGGGGAAUUAACAUGUAGCUUUUGACACUCUCAGGUUAAUCAGGUUAAUUGUUUGAAAAUCUGUUUUUCUCCAACUGUGCUCAUGUUGGAAAAUACACAGUGAGACCAGAUUCACAGCUGUUUUUAACAAUUGGUUAAAGCUCCUGUGAGAAACUUGUGGUUUGUGUCAACUUUGGCAUCACAUGUGUGAUGCCAGUAGUCUUCAAUUUGAGGGGGAAAAAAUAAAAAAAACGACACUAUAGUGCUGACUUUUGACGCACAAAUCUCUUAUUAAAUGUUACAUUAGAUGUUUCUUCAGCUGCUUGGCGGUCACCUAUAUCUCCUCGCACCUGUUUCAGGCAUUGAAAUGAACAAGAUACAACUUGUUAAUGUUGUCCCUGAUGGUCUUGUUUGAUUCUGGAUAUUAUAAAAGGCAACAAUAACAAUGUCGUUCUACUUCAUAACAGUAAAAAAAUCCUCACAGUAGUAGUGAUGGGCACGGCAGUUCUUUUAGAUUUACUGAAUCAUUAGAAUCAGUUCACUAAAAAGAAUCGUGUAGCGCUUGGCGGGGAGAAGCCUGCCACUCCGACCUCCUGAUCUGAUACACAGCUGAACGGUUCAGGAUUCAGUUCAAUUCAUAGCUUCUGGGACAGGGAGACGAGAGUGUUCGGAUGUGUUGCUUUGGCAAACAGGUUUGUAAAAAUGAACUUGUUUAUAAGUCAUGAUGUUUUAAGUGUACUGUCCUAUGGUAUUCUAUUUAUCAGGUCUGCUCUGUAAGUUGGGGUCAGUGAGUGAUUCGUUCACUGAACGUUUAGAAGAAUUCAAACUGAACAUACACCACUCCCUCGCAAACCGCUGCAAUGAUAGGAGGCUGCAGGUUUAAUGCACUACUUGUUACAUGCUAUGUCCUAUUGUAUGCAAGUUGUUGUGGUGGCAAUUUAGCAGUUAAAAAAAAAGGUAGUUUUGUCUGACAAAAAUGAUUCCAGAAAGUUUAGUUCAAUACGUGAUACGUUCACCAAGUGAUUCAGGUGUCAGCGCAUGUGGUCCCUCAUUCGCCGGCUGCUCGACUGGCAAUUCUGUUUCUCACUUCAGCUCAUCUCAAGGAAGUGAUUCGGUUCAGUACGUUCACUUAAAAGAUUUGGUUCUUUUGAAUGAAUCGUUCGCGAACGACACAACACUACACAGGAGUUGUGAGGUCUAGAUCGUAGAGAUGGGAUUUAUGGCUCUUUGAAGGGAGUCAGAUCUUGAGGCGCCAUUCAUUUCAAAGAGCCAUACAAAGACUGGCUCAUUGUUAUGUUUAAUUUUUUUUUAGAAGUCAACCAAGGCUACAAGUGGGUUUUUCUGAAUAUUAGUUAUAAUCUCAUUUGGCUUGUGUUUUCAUUGUAAAAAAAUACCAAUGCCUUGACAGUGAGAUCACUAUUUUGAAUUUUACCCUCACCUAAAAAACUUUGUGGCGCAGUAAAAACUACACAGGCUACAGAUAACUGAUAACUACCUAGUGUUUGGGGCACACAGGUGACGUAUUUGCUCGUCACUGUAAAGUGGUUCUCAUCAUUCACUUAAAAGAGCUGUUCAAACAACUGACUCAUUCGUGAACGUCACAUCUCUGCUAGAUUACAACCAAAGAAAACAUCCAUUCUGAUAUUUCUUGAUACAAAGGGAAAAGACAGCAUGCACGUUAUUAGACCAAUGUGCCAACUCUACCAAACAAACUGAAUAAUUUGCAUAAUGAAUCUCCAACAAUAUUGCUGUUCAUUUUGUAACUCCACAUGUGUAGACAGUUUGUGAUGUUCCAGUGUGGUCCAAUUGCACAGUAAUAAUAAAUGGAUAUCACUUUGACACUAUUACCCUGGAAGUCUAGAAUAAACGUUGUUUUAGCUCUUUUGAUCUCUGCGACCGACAUAACAUGAAAACCCACUCUCUGGCUAUUUAUGAAGGGAUGCAUGCCACACUCCCACACAAACAGGAACACAAGCACACACACUUUCUCAAAUGUCAGAGGGGCAAUGAGCUACUUAUUAGAGAAUAUGCUCUGGAGAGAAGCCCUGCUUUAAUUAAUUUUGUGCCUGCCAGUGAUGACGAGAGGAUAGGGUCAAUUAGGUCUCCUUGGAGACAUCUUCAAUCCAUUUGGCGGUGGCUUUGGUGAGUUUACUGCUCUGAAACUUUGGAAUAUUUAAUGAUUCAUUUAAAUGUGUCUGAAGAGAGAAACACUUACUGUGGAUGUAGUCACUAUCAACAGGAUUAAAGCAGUUAUUAGGAUGUUACAGUCACAGGAAUCCCACUAUGACAAUCGCCCUGGCAUCAAAUUCAUGAGUCAGUACCAUGAGUCAGAUUAGACUGUGCCUCUAGCUGGAAAGCUUUGGCAUGGACCGUGAGCAUUAGACCCUCAGCUGAACCACCACUAGGGCCUCAUGUCUGACUAACAAGUCUCUGAAGCCCUUAUUAGGCUUGUAUUAGCUCGACACAUUGUGCCAUUCUCCAUCCUCAUUGUCUGCUGUGUAGGGUGACAAACUGUUUCCAGACACUUCCAUUCUGCAGUACAAACACACACAAUUAGAUCUGACAGUUCCCCUAGAAGUUCAUUGUCCAGACUGUAUACAACAGAUGGAUGUAUGCAGUUAUUGUGGUGGCAGAAACAUGGGAGAUUAAACAGCUGACCAAAGAGACUUUUCCCUCUAGCUCGUCACUAUUGUGGACUGAACACUGUCCAGGGAUUUGUGGCUUGCCACUGCAGACAUGCGGUAAAUAACCAUGACAACCAGGUGGGGUUUCUAUGGAGGGAUCAUCAGGACCAGUCUGGUUGAUAAACAGAUUAUAAACCGAUUUACUAAUGUGGGGGUGUAAAGAAAAGGGUGUUAACUGUAUAUACAAUCUAUAAACCAAGACUGGCAGGACAUGAAUGAGAUCUCUUCUAAGAGAGGGGAUGGAAUAAAGUUUAGUGGUAAAACUUCAAGCAGUGUCCUAAUAUACAAUGACAGAACAGGCAUGCUGAUCUUCAGUUUAUUAUUCUGUAUAUCCUAGAGGCAGCAAAAUAUACUUUGGCUCAUUAAUCAACGUCAAUACAUCCUUGGAAGUAAACUUGAGGUCGGUGUAAAGGAGCAAAGCAAGACAAAUUAGGCAUGAAACCUAUAAUGAGACAAAAACUUAUGAACAGCACCAGAACUUUAUGAUAUAUUAUCUGACAGUGUGACUAAAUCACGAGUUCAAUAUAAAUUCUUUAUCUUCACACAUGAGACACAAAUAGCUGCUGGCUGCAAUCAUUUGCAAAUAUGUUAUUUAGAAACAUAUAUACAGCGUACUGUAUAGAUGGUGUGUAAUAGAUGCAUGUUCUGCCUGAGGUUUUGUUAAUGAAGGUGAGCAUUGCGGUAAUGAAAGCUAGAUAAUGACUUCCCUUGUCCUUUUUUAAAACUUCUUACUGCUGCACCUUUUAGCAACCAUGGUCAUUUGUAACUGGUAUAAUAAAAAUUUGAAUAACAUGGGAACUGCACUGAUAAAUUGACUCUUGAGUUGUAAAAAUUAGAGUCUUUUCCUUUCCUUUUGGUUAAAUCCAAGGUUCCAUGGAUUCACUUUCUCCAAGAUUCAACCCUCCAUCACAAAAAAACUGUCAUACUGCCCUGGAACAAAGUGAACUGCCGUUAGGGGACGGGAAAGAUUUUAUUGGUCAUGACUGAUGCCACCCUCUUCCCACACCCACUGAUAAUGUUUCAUACUAAUCCAGCCCUCAGUGACAGAAAGUUAUGACUAGCCCUGGUGCAAUGAUUUUUAUGGGCCCACCCCAGGGGACGUUGAAUGAGAAAGAAAAACUGAAUAAUUCAGGUGGCACAGAGAUUGGCCCUGGGACAUGCAAAAGAUUAUCGAUAUUUGCUUUUCCAGGGGCCUGAGUAAGCUGUUGUGGGGAGGUAAAGCAUUUCUGGUAGAAACUGUGACCCGCACUAAAGCAGGGGGCGCAUAAAGAUGAACCAAAAAGAUAUGUCGGACAUUGUUCAACCUAGUGUAAAUUAGAACAGCAGAGCAUCAGAGAGACAGUCCUAACAGUGUUUAAGGUCUGAAAAUAGCAGAACCAAUGCUUCUACUAACACUGUUAGGACAAAGAGGAACAAGAUGUUGCAUUAAGAUAAGCCCAAAAUCUGUCUGGAAAAAAGGAAUUUCUUCACCUUAUCUUCAUUGCAUCUGCAAUAUCUGUGGAGCAAUCACUAUGGGCAUCCUCACAUCAGAGUUUUAAUGUCACCAAAAUACAGUUUUAACUCAUAACAAUGUUCAACAACAUUGGUUUUCUCCCCGAUUCUUCUUCUCUUUCAACAGACACAUAAACAUUUCUUUUAAAGUCACAGCCUAGUCUCUCUUCUGCAGUUCUCUGCUGAAACAAACACUCGAGUACAGCGACAAUGAUAGGCCCUCAACAAAAGGCACUAGGCAGUUAACUUCAGCCAGUUUCUUUCGUACUGCAUUCAAGAGUUGUCUCAUUUUCAAAGUGUAAAGAAAGUACUUAAGUUUUAAAACAGACAGUGCACUUUAUAGAGAGGAAGGAUUUUGUGUACAGAAAAACAAACACACCAAAAAGUAAUAUAAAGAAAUACAAUAAGAUAUACUUCUUCCGCAGAGAAGCAGCUAUUUGAGCAGGAGAAAAUCCAAUGAAAGGAAAAAAUGAAUCCUCCAUGCAAUAAAAAUACAAGAUCCAAAGCUCCAGCUUUAGGUUAAAUAAAUAACUCGUAAAAAAGAACCAAAAGAAGAAAAAAGUCUGAAGGGAAAGUUAAAUGGUUUCAAAUUUGACAAAAAUAUAGCCAGUCAGAAUAGUGAAGAAAGGAUUUUCUCAGGCAGACAAAGCAGAUGCACCAUCUGAACAGCCUAUUUUCCUGCUUUGAUUCUUGCAGGGAUGUAGUUGGAUUCUUAGUGUCAGGCUAACAAAGAACCCAAAGCCCCCUCACUGUGUUUAUUUACAGUCUAGCUGUAAAAUAUUCAACUUGAUACCAAGAACAAAGUAGGCAAAAUGAAAAAGAGCAUACACUUGAGUUAGAUGUGCCACAGUAAGUACAUACUGCAUCCAAUGAUCAACCCCAACCUUGUUCUUGACCCACACCCUGGAUAUGAUUAACUCAUUUUACCUUUACUAUAACUAUUGGGGUAAACUUAGAUGAACAGUUUGGCUUUUAAAUUGGUAGCCUACUCAAGUUGAGAGGGGAGGGCAUCCCCCCUGAAUGAAAAUGGUCAAAUCAUCCCCCUUCUAAAACAGUCAUCCCAACUUUCCAUCUCUUAAGCCACUACUACUACUUAAACAUUUGAAAUAUUACCACCAUUCUGACGUGUGUGACGCUGAAAUUAAGAGAAGGAGCGGCGUCCUCAAUGACCGCGGGCAGCGCAUACAGCGACACACACACACACACACACACACACACACACACACACACACACACACCUAGAUACGUGCCAAGCAUUUCCCUUCCCGCCAGCGUCGCUAAUUAUUACCAACUAAACAGCGUUACUUUCUCCUCUCCCUUCUCUGUUGGACAGGGUAACCAAGGGUGCACACUUGGAGCUCUAUCAGCUAAUUUAAACACACAUUCACGUUGACAUUCAUCGCUCCACUUACCUGCCGGGCGUCCAUUCAUAUAUCCUGGCCCUCAUGCCGGUUCGUGUUUCCAAAUGAGAAACAGAGCGCGUGAUUUCCGGGUGUAAAAUCGAUAGGUAUGGCGGGUCAGAGUGGUCACAUGAUUUAAAAAAAUAAAUAGAUAAAAAUAAUGAAUCCCCUUGUUGUUUACCAUGAAUCUCUUAAAAUUAAUGCUCAAUUGAUUUGUGUAAAAACCUAGUAAAAAUGGUAAAAAGAGUUUGAAUAAAUGUGGUUUUUUUUUCUUCCAAAUUUAUGUAUUUAAUAACGCCCACUGGGAGGGGCUAGGGGGAGGGGGUUAAAAGAUGGCUGCCUGGAACUUUCAUUGAGUCAGGAGUUUGUUGCAUAGAAGGUAAGUGCCAAACUGACUUUUGUAUUGCUGCUGUGUUUCUGAUUUUUUUUCUUGAGUUAUAGUGGAACUCCUGCCUUGUUGGCAUUUUCUUUUCGCCGUGUACAUUUUGUUAAUAGUAUUUUACAUUUUUUGCACUUCUGUUAAUAUUUUUGCACUGGACCAUAGAAGGCUGGCUUUAAAUAAAUAUCACCAUCACCAGAUUUUUCUGACUAUGUCUGUGUUUUUCCACUAUAUUUUGAUUCUUUGAGCAAGAACCCACAACAGGGGGCUUUGCUUAUAUCAAGUAUACUCUGGGUAAGGAAGCAUGUGGGAAAAAGACAACCCCCCUCCCUUUUUUUUUUUUUUUUUUUUAUGACGUCAGUAAGUGGCGAAGCAGCGCUGGUGACGCUAAUUUGAUUUCAGUAUCAUGGCCAAGCGACAUGAACAGCUCGAUCCGAGGGAUAAUGUAAUAUAACAAUUAUCUUUGUGCUUUAGCAACAAUAAAAUGGGUACACAGUUGGUUUCCCACCAUGUGCACUGUCAGCAGAUCAAAAUAUAUGUCCCAAAUAAUAUAAUUCACCACCACCACCCCACCCCCCCACCCCCCCAUUUCUUUUUUUCAAUACCGCGGCUACUGGGUACACCUAUGUACUAUUGUCGUCAUGUUUGUUUUGAUAAAAAAAAAGCAUUGAUAAUUUAAACGGUUGAAUUGAAAAUACCAUUUAUUCACAGAAAACACUACAAAGCGCACAGGCUUUAGUGAAAUCCACGGUUGAGCAGUAAGAGAUAACUACCAUCACACCAUCAUAAGUGAGCUAAGCUGAGCUAUGAGCCAAGUAUGUCAAAGUAGUAAUGUCCUCAGAGGUCUGACUGAAUAGAUACUUGCAGUCUCAAGUAGGAAUUCCUUUUUAAAGUGGUAUCCCUGUCAUGUGGAGUAGAAACUAGCAGAGCAGGGCAGGAAGUAAUGGGGGCUUAAAUCAGCAGUGUUGAUUUGAUAAAUAAUCUUUGCAGUGCUGGCGAUGCUCUGCUUAGCAACGCUGACCCCCCAGUGUGAUGGCAUAUGUUAAUAAAAAGCGCUGCAGGAUGUCCUCUGCAUCCUUAAUCUGCUGGUGUCAAAAUGAUUUUGUGUGUGUUUCGUGUGUCUGAGUUUACCUGGUUUUGUUGUGAGGCAUUGACAAUUACUUCUACCAUAAGAUGCGUGUGGAUGAUCAUGCAUAUGCGCCAGUUUCUGUUUAUGCACAUGGCAAAUGCGUGCAUGCAUGCGACAGUGAUAGGCACGGCACCUAAUCUACAUAUCAAUUUUGCUCAUUUGAAUGAACCACUUAAUGGGUGAUGGUGGUGAUAAUUACCUGUUGUGCAGAGAGUAGGGCACCAGCUCCCACUGGGCCUCUCUUUCUCAGGGUGGGUCACUAAAUCUGUACACAGUACAGCAGGGUAUCUUUCACAGGGGACUUGUGUGACAUGACAGCACAGUGUGAGUCCUAGAUUUCCUUAAAUUGUCAACACCCGGAAAUCCUUGGUGGUGGAAGCUUGUACAAGGAGAACCAUCUUGCAGGAAAUGACACAAGGAAAAAGGGGCCUGACAUCUGGGAUAUUUUCAGCAGCGAUGUGACAAUUUAUGUGUAAUGGUAAAAUGUCUGCCUACAAUCUGUUGUGUCAAAAAAGACAGCUUUCAUAUGAUUUUAGCCCAUAGAAGGACAUAUCUUUUUUAUAUGUGACAAAACACAGUUGAUGGACACUAUUAGAUGAUACCACAGAGAUUAAAGUUGACAGUUUGAGAUGUCUAAUGUCAGUGUGAUCAACCAAAAAGGAGGAAAGAGAGGUUGUUAAAUUGUGCAUGAAAACGUUUUUUUUUCUCAAGCUGAAACAUAACUCAAGAGAAAUAUCACAGGCUGUAGUAAAAAUGUGAUAAUGUAAAUGGAUUUCUAAAACAGUGCAUGUCUAUAAUUAAUUCUGACACAUAGCAAUUAUCUGGGUCUCUCAAUUCAAAAAACAGACCUCACACUGUGUCUGUGUGAUCACAGGUGAGUCACGCUGUCCAACCCGCUACUCUACAUGGGACUGCCUGCAGCACCUCUGCCAUCAUUCUGCAUGGCUGAAUCCUGAAGAUGCCACUGAACAUCAAAACUGAUCCCACUCAUGCUCUACAGCUGUAUGUUCCCUGUCACUGCUGAACCUCUGUACUGCAGCCCAGGACCCACUGCUGUGGAGGGUCCACAAAUGGGAAUGAACAGGUGCCACUUUAAUUAUGUGCCCUCUUGUAGGAGCAUUGUAGAGUCAGCUGGGAGACAGUGGCCUUUUAAUUAACCUUGGAGUGCUGCUGUUGAAACGCAGUGACAGUGCUGCGAUGGGCACCUGCAAAUAGAGAUGGACAAUAUCUGCCAGCCAUGGCUUUUAUUUACAAGCACUGAGGUAGAGUGUCUGAAUCUCUUCACCUACACAUUCAAUUCACUUUUCACUCCCCCAGUCUGUCUAUGAAAAAUAACAUCAGUUUCACAUGUUUCAGUCCACUUGGCCAACACCACCACCACCAUCAGGCCAUGGCUGCAAGCGGCAGAUUGCUCCUCUUGUGUCAUUUUCCCUUGAAAUGAGGUCAUCUCACCCUCAGAAAACAUUUUCUGUUAUCUUAACAGAGAUGUCUGACAGCCCUAAAAUGAGCUGGUAUUGGAACUUUCAAUUUUUGAGAGCCCUCUUCUGGUCCAGAAGAAGGCAAAUAGAUCAGUUUGAGUAUAUCUUCAUACUUGAAUGAUGCCAGGAGUAGAGAGGAGAUGCAUAUUCCAGUAUGUUUAUAUUGGCAAAUGCUUCCUCUCGAUUUUCAAACACCAUUAGUGACUUUUUCUGUCAUAUAUUUGAUUGACACAUUUAUCUAAUUAUAACGAUAAUUUUCUGGCACACUCCAGCUGCUGCCUCUCACAUGUUCCAGCUCCCUCUGACCAGAUAAAACAAGCGGCGAGAAACAAAGCUUUGUCUUCUUUUUUGAUCUAAUCCAUUUUCAUGAAAUCCAAAUGCUAAUAUGAAGCUAUUACCUACUGUUACACACAAACACAAACCUCAGAGGGAGGAUUUUUGUGAUGGUACACGGCAACUUUAUUAAGUUGCACUUGUGAAAAAUUGUAUUUGCCAUUUUUUUUCCUGUUUUGGACCAGAAUUAAGAGACCACGGUUUUGGAGGGUUAAAUAAAUAAAAAAAAGAAUAAAAAAAUCAUUGGCUGUGGUACUGUGUUUAAAAAAGAUUCAAAAGCGUAACAACAAACAAGUUCUGAUUAAUUCUCAAAUGCCUCAAUGUACUUAUAUUCCUUGACCUACUUUUAGCUUUGUUUGAGUUUUAAAAUUUUCAGCCAGCAUUCCUGUUAUUUUCUUCUUUACCUGCCUGUCCUGAAACAAGCAACAGCUCUUAGUCGGUGAUUGAAGCUACAAGCUUUUACACAAUCUCUUGACCAGCACAACAACAUCACUUCUUCUGAAGACACAGGAGGGAACUGUCUGUUUUACAGGACAUCAUGAAUUAUACUACUUUUGUCGUUAACAAACUGAGGGAGCUGCAAUAAAGCGACUCAUCCCAAAUGCAAAAUGGGGAUGAGACCCAGUAGGAUCGUUUGACAUGUCAGGCUUUAUUUCGAGUUAAUCAGCUGUGAUGAUGAAUACGCUGGUCAAUUGUAAGGUCGUCUUUAGAAUUCAAGUCACCACUGGAUUGUUGACCAUGGAUUUACUUCUCACUGAUUCAUUUCUUUCUUUACAUUGAAGGAUACUUUUAAGCUGGGAGAUUAUUUGGGAGAUAAUUACAUUUCUAUGGGGAGUGUCAGUCAGAUAGAUUGAAGAUCUUUAAUCUGACAUUAAUCAUUCUGUUCCCAAGUCAAUCCUCCCCUCACACAUUUUUAUUUAUUUAUUUUUACAAAUAGUGUAAUUAUAUCUAUUCAACUAUUUACAACCACAACAACUAAUUUAUCAGAGUAUUUGAGAUCUGUGGCACAUUAUAGGCAAAGUUAUCUUAUGGAAAAUUUCUUUUACAUGCACUCAUAUCUUAAGUUUCUGUUCUGCUGUUUUAAUUUGCAAAGAUUUAAGAUUUUCUCUAAUCUUCAUCUUAUUUGUGAAAGAGAGAAUAAACAUUACUCUGGUAUCAAAGUAUAAUUAAAAAAUAUUAUGUUGUGUUGCUCCUGGUGAGAUAUUUGGACACAAUUGGACUUCCUGAACAAAGAUUUUCUGGAGCUGUGACUCUUGCUUAAGCAUGCAUUUUUAGGGGUGGCUGGGCAUGGUAAGCAGUAGAUGUUUACUUUAAACCUAGGAGGGUUACCUCCACUAAUCAUGGCUAAACGAACUUGUGACGAACACCGUGUUCUCAGAAAUGGUGACUCAGUCUAACCUGAAGUAAACUUAACAAAAGACACUCAGUACAUUUAUAUGACACUCGAAGUGACACACUGAAGUGCAUAUAACCACCUUAGUCUGACUAUAAUCUGAGUUUGAGAAUUCCGAUUAGAGUUGAAAAACUCUGGUUAAGAUACCCUGAUAAUGUGAUUGGAAUUCGAUUUUCUCUACCAUGUGACCAGUGUAGUUGUAGUAUGAUCGGACAAUGCAUAUGCGAUUUUUUCAGCUGCAUGUAUAUACAGACAAGGAGAGAAUUUAGAUUUGGCGAAAAAAAUAAAUUAUGAGCUUAGUCCGAUAAAGCUGUGCAUGCAAAUGCACUGACUAAGACAGAACUGAGAGGGACUAUUUCCUUCCUUCUUAAAGCUACAGUAUGCCUGUCAGUCAACCCAGCAGUACCCCUACUUACGCAACACUUACGACACCUACAUCUCUACAUAGUGUGGGCACACUGGGCAGAUAGAGACUCAAGAAGUAAAGUUGUUCAAUUUUGCUGUAAAGAUGGGCUUUUUUGAUUGGGUAUGAAAAUGGCUUCCAGCACUUUUGCAGCUAUAGUCCAAAGCAGCUAUUAAAGGAACUGCAGCUACAGUAUAUUAGCUGUUUUUAGUUCCUGUUCUCACUUAUGGGAUACAGAUCUUCUUUUGAACUAUAGUUUUUAUACUUACAUCUGUUGCUACAUAAAGUUAUUUACAGUAAUGUCAAUAUGAUAUCACUUUGUGAACUGUAGGCUAGUUAGCAAACAGAGUCCUUGUGUGCUCCAGUGUCAGCAAUCAUGCACCGGCGUAACCAUUACAUCUUCUUUAUGGCCAAUUUGCCCUUUUGUCAAGUUGCAAAGUUUCUUCAUCUUGAACAAUGCUUGAACAGAAGAUACAUGUCUUUGCUAAUCUUGCUGCAGUGUCAGCCAUGAGGACAAAUGUUAUAAAAAGAGGAAAUCAUCUCACAAAGAAAUAAUCCCUCUACUUGAUAGCUCAUUUCUCACUGCCAGACAUUGCCGGUGGAGUUCCACUUUUAAGACCAUUUUGAAAUCAGUUAACAACACCGUUUUGAGAUAAUCAUGUCAAGGGUAUCACAUUGAGAAAAUUGAACCAGAAUUUGGUUCUGUUCAACUCUUUGCAAGAUUCAAUUUACCGAAAAGAUCUCACACAUACAAACACGCCGUCAGAACCAGCGUUCAAUGUGAUUAUAUCGAGUUUUGUACUGAAAGGCUUCAGUGUUGUCAAAUCGAGUAAGAACUCUUCUCUCCACUGGACAAAUUCUUGACAAUUCCUGACACUGCUAAAGGAGUGAAAGGAUUCAUCAGUAUGUUUCAUUCAGUGCCCUUAAGUAUAGUAUCAGUGUCAGCACACAGCAUAUUAAUGAUACCCUUCAGUAGCUACUGCUGACACAAUCAAACCAGAUGUGGUAAUGGAAGAUGUAAGAGAUAUAACGAAUAUGCACAGGCAAUAUUCAGUCGUGUCUUCUCUAAGAACAUUUACUUGUCAUGUAAGUGGUGCGGUUUGAAAGAGAGAAGCUCCUGGUUAAGAAACAAACCUAUUGAGUCUCCCCCAGUCUCUCUGGCAGUCUCUGCUGACUUCUUUCUCCAAUGAAUUCCUAUUUACUGUGAAGGACUGAGCUGCAGACUUCUAGGUCAGAUACAGCCAGGCUCCAUUUUCUGCCUCCUUUUCAAGCUCUCCAGUGGCUCUUAAUUCAUCCCAGGCUCCAAUAGAACCUCUCCUCUGGCAGUAUUGAGUUUUGAGGCCUUUGGGCUCGACAGGUAUCACUCUCAGACAGCUCGCCCUCGUCUCACACCCACCGCACUCCGGUUUGAAUUAGUAGAAGCUCUUCAGGUCUGAUACUGUCCCCUCAAACUGUAGAUAUUGGAUUUUCUCCCUCAAAUUCCACAUCUUACAUCCGAAAUAUAGCUGUGAAUCGCCUUAGGGCAGCAUGUGUGUGUACAUGUGUUUGUUUGUGUAAUGGUAUGCUCACCGUGUUAUUGCUCACAGUGUCAGUGCGCAAAUAAAGUCAGGAUCUUAGCCCACGCAGAAAUUCAAUCAAUAAUGCUGCACUUGAUCAGGAUCCAAUUUGCCCGCCUUACUUACCUAACAGUAAAAUACAACAGCUUUUGAGUUUACUGGUGCUGGCUUCCUCUUUAUUCUCUUUUUUGUGUGUGUGGGUUAGACGGGGAAUGCAGCCUUGCUUCUUGUGACAUAACUGGCAUUCUUUCUUGCAAGCCUAUAGAAGUGCUUGUCAACAAGGCUACAAAACAAAUUCAUUUCUGAAAGGUCAGGAAGGUAGAGAGAUGUUUAGAUUGGAAAAGAGGCAGAGGUAACCAAUGAUUUAAAAGUCCAUCAAAAGCAACAGGAAACUUUUGUUACCUUAAAGUUUUAAUGUUUUACUAAUCUUCCUUGCAUCUGUGAAUACACAAUAUAGAAAUGCAAAUCUUCCUAAAAUGACUGAGAUCUGAUCUGACACAACAUGCACUACAAGUUCAUCGUCAUUGAUUUGCAUUGAACAUUUCUCUGCCAACAAACACACACUGAAGUGAUUUUACCGGCUUUACCGUCGUGUUUUGCUAGGAUUUAUCUCAGUUCUUUUCCAGUAUAUUUCAGAGCCUGCUUCUGCUAGCAUCAGAGGUCUAGUUUAGAGAAUAUGUCAAACUGAAAUUUUAAUCCUCUCCUCUCUCAUUGUGUAGGAGGAUGUUAUACUGCAGCUGUUUUGCAUAUAUUUACAUUUACAGAAGAUAAUAAAACACUUGUUUUCAGUGGGUAACACGGUCCAGGUUUCCCUUUUCUUCUUGGUGGCCAUUAACAGACGUUGGAGAGCUGUUGCUCGGAGAAAAAAAAAAAAAAAAAAAAAAAGUUGAUCUCUUUUAUCAUUCUUGCUCGGCUAAGUUUCACAACAGUACCCUCGCUUUUGACGCUAACGGCAACAUACUUUUAUCCCUUUACAUCAGGAAGUGGUUAUUUUAGCACAGAUAAAUUGAGAAGUUUUUUGACCAUUUUUGAAAAUACCCUAAAACUCACAGUGAUGCUUUUUUAUGAUAUCCAAAAACAAACAAGGCCAUCAAGGACAAGACUGACGAUUUGUGUGCCGGCGGGCUCAAUGCCUGAAACUGGUGCCAGGGGGUAGAUGGCAGCAGAGCAGCCGAAGAGACAGCCCUGUUUUUCAGACUACAUAUUCAUGAUAAAUGAAAAACUUGCUUGUUAAUAGUCAGCAGGAAGAGUUUUUUUUUUCACUCGAGCAAAAAGAGGACAAAAUGAGCAAAGACUACCUUGUCCAUCGGGGUGUAGCUGAGUAUUUCUGUGCACAGUCUGGUAGUUUGUUCCGUGAGCUUUGAGAACAGCAAAUUCACAAGUUCAUUUAAAUAACCAAAGGUCUGUUUUGUGCUAUUUAACCCCGCUCUCCUGAUCAUCCAUUGAUGACAUUUUAAUUAUUUCUCAUUUAAAUAAAUACCCACACUAUCUGUCAUCGCCCACCCCAGUCAGUCCAAAGAGUCUACCCUUUGCUUUCUUUCUGCGCCACUUUGCUUUGAAAAGGGUUCAUCACUUCAUGGAACUCCAACUGUUCUCCACAUGGGAUUCUGGGUAAUUAGAAUUUUUUAACAUUUACACCCUAUCAGCGGUAAUCAUAGAAAGCCCUUUCUGAAGAUCACACGGAUAAGUAACUUUUAGGAAACAGUGGUACUCAUAUUUCAACUCGAUGUUUCUUUGAGUCAGUGAAUAAGACUGAUGGGUGGUACGAAUGAUUCACUUACAGCAUCAAAGUCUGAUUAAAAGAUGGAUAAUUAAUUAAGUGGCUUCUCGGGAGAAGAUUGCUCUAUGUGGAUGAAGUAGUUCAAGCCACCUGAAUCCUAUUUGCCUGAGUCCCAUUUGAGCUUUCUUCCAUCCAUAGACUGCUAAUUAUUAUCACAGACGGAGGUGUUCUCCAAUCACCUAAUCCUGCACCCUGAUUACGCUUGACAUUUAACUCCUGAGUUUAAAAAAUCCUCAACAAAUAUGUAAAUGAGUUCAGAAUUUCUUCAUUAUGCAAAUAAGGUUGCUCACGCUUCUCACAGGGACAAACAGUCACAACCUAUGACUCAUUCUAUGGAACAUAACACGAGUGAAAACCAGAGUUUAUUAGAACUAAGGCUGUGCAAAUUAACCGUAGAGUAUGUAGGUCACAUGUAAGUUAAGCUUGAAGAGUGAUAGGACUGUGAUAUGCUCAGAUCAAUGGACAGAAAAUUAGGCACAGCCUGUCUGUGUUGACAAAAAACAUGUUGUUACAGGUCACGAUCACAGGGGGGCAGUAUGGAACCACAAUCCUGUAGUGACGUCCUCAUAUAAAUGAGCAGAGUUUAAGCUUUCUAAACAGAAUAUCAGCAAGUCUUUGAUAUCUGAUCCCAAAAUGUUUGAUCUCUGCCAAAGUCUCCAAUCUGCCAUUUUCACUCGGUCCCUGAUGUCGUUUUGUGCUGUUUAGACUCCCUGUAUUCUCUACAAAUGCAAAUGUCAGCUUCAAAUAAAGAGAUAAUGAUCAUAAAUUAAAUUAAAUAAGCAGUUAUAACACUUACUGGCAUCUUGCAUAAGGCAUUUUAAGAUUUCGCUCUGUGUCUAAUUAUUAACUUUGGGCUUGGAUAACUACAUGAAAGAGGUUAUUUUGUGAUGUGAAUGGUUUACAUCUCACUGACCAAGAGACACUUAGGGGGAAUGUUCAGCUCAUUAAAGACAUGACUCAUUGUUUUCUGUCCUUUCUCCAUUCCCUCUCUUUGACUACAGGCUCGGACUCAACCCCUGGGCUCCACCCCUCCUCCUCCCCUUCCUCGCUUGUGUGAAUAACUCAAUAACUCCCAUCCGUGGCACAAUUAAGGCAUUAUUACACCCUCCGCUGGACCUCAUGCUCCAGGGUGAAUCGUAGGGGCAGAGGGUUCCUGGCUAGUCCCCCCAUUUCCAUCCAGGCCCACUGCAAAGCACUGGCUACUCUUAUACCCUGACCCAUUUUGCACUCCCCGUGUGCCCCCGAUUCUGCAUAGACACACAAACGGUCCGUCUGACACGCUCGCAGCACGGACGCACACACUUAAGCCCCCCUCUGUUGUCUCCAUCCAGCAGGCAGCAACAUGGCAGCGUGAGUCACGUCAGUGCCAGCAGCUGUGCACUGGGCACCAUGUGAGGCGCUUGUUCGGCCAAGCAGUGGGAGGGGGUUGGGUGAACCUUGUUGUGGGGUUUAAGGGUGAUGUGUGGGUGCCUCUCCUCUGUCUCCUUCCUUUAACCCUUCUCUUUUGUGGCUCUAUAUGAAGGAAGCCAUCUGCCUACUGCCAGUCAUCUGAGGCUGUGUGACUGUGACACAUUGCACUCUGAGCCUGUCCAUCACCCACCCACCCACCCACCUCUCGCGUACACACAUGAAACCACUGAUCCCGUCGGGCUUUAUCCCUCUUCAGCUGUCUUUGAGAUUUACAUUUCUUGAAGGAAAAGUUUGAUUACCAAGUGCGAGUUCUUAUUCGACUUUCCUUGUUCUGCUCUUGUCAUAACAAAUGUUUUCUGGCCUUCUCCUUUGUGAAUCAAAUCACACUUGUUCAUUGUGUUCCUGUUUGCUACUUCAAAAAAGAACUUUGAAUAAACUUUGACUAUAAGUUUUACUGGCCUUCAACUGCUGUUGUAUCUCCCUUUGAAUAGGUUGUGUUUGUUGCAAAGACUGGAUAAAGUCUGAAGUGCAAGAGAGCAGGAGAAUUUGUUAGCCCCGGCGAAGUAACCUCCUCCAAAAUAGUUUAUCUAUGGAAUAAACCAGUGGAGUUGAGUCAAUAUUUGCGCAAACAGCCCUCUCCCAAGCUGAUCAACAGGGAACAAAAGCUCAUCCCUUUAUUCUUUAUCAUCACAGAAACUCCCUCUUUCUUGAUAACAUCAGAGACCAAGGUCUUGUUUUUCUGUAUUCUAGCUUUGGGGGAGAAUUCUUUUAUUUAGUGGAUUAGCUGAAAUAAAGGAAAAAUAAAGGUCAUCGCUGCCUUUAAUCAUCACAAUAAACAAUGCUUCAUCGUUUUACAGGAAUACACCAGACAAGCUCCGGUUUCAAACAGCCAAGUCUCAAGCUGCCCCAAACAACUGCUCAUGUUAUUCUCUAAGAAGCUCUCUCUGUGUCCUGCAUCCAUGUGCUAUUAAUAUUCAUACACGCUAACAUUUCCUUGAAUGCUUCCAACUCAGAGAGAUGAGUCUGACAAAUGGACUUGCAAUAGGAGAGAGGCUUGCACUCCAAAUGUCACGUCUGCUGCAGGCUGUUCCAUUUGUUUUGAAUGCACUCCAAAUGAAAAGCAAUUUAAGAGCUCCAACCGUUAGAGAGAGCCCUCACCACUGAAGUGCAAACCAAACCUUAAUUAGGAAAAUGAUGAUUGUUCUGUGCACGCGCUCAAUUUGCUUUACAAUUGGCCGAGCUUCUCUUUUACACCACCCUCUGACAAUUCAUAUACUUCAGCCUGUCUACAUUUGCAAAAUGUCAACAUGCCAGAGAUUAAAUUAAAGCAGGUCUCUGUAAAGAAGACACAUCUAUCACAUCAUUACUGGCAGAAGAUUAACAGGUUGACAUUUCUCUCCGCUAGAUUGGCACAAUAGGACUUGAUCCAGACGAUUCUCUGUCAACAAGCCUCGCCAAACACAGGCGCAUGAUGGAGAAUAUAAUUAAGUCAAAAACCUGUAACAUAUUUUUCAACCAAAGAACUCUAAAAGAUUGGAUGCUGACUUUGUUUGUCUUUCUUUGUGUUCGCAUGUCAAGGACGCCGUGCAAUUAUGCCGUUGAAAACAUCUUUUCAAUCAAUAGGACAAGAAAUCUGAAAGUAGUUCAGUUCCUCUCAGACACAUUCCUGUGAAGUGAGGCAUGUUUAAUGAUACAAGCCCAGAGCCCACGCUUCACCUGUUCUUAUACUGUGCAUAUACACCCAGAAUAAUUAGCAGCCUUAUAUGGACAGCAAACAUUUGAUCAAUUUCGAAUAGCCCGUAGUGUGAGUCCAGUGAACAGCGCUGGAACAAACAAGAGCAAACCUUAACACAGGGAAAGGUCAUAGGAUCAAUAAUUCAUUUAAGAUGCUCUGUGGGAUUGACUCUGCAGUCGCCUUGUAAUCAGGAGGGGAGAUUUAUUUAUCUUAACCAAGUUUAAAUCCACAUUCCUGUGCUAGAAAAAACAUUGUGCCACAUCGGUCGAUUUUCAGUACCCUCACAAGGCCACGGGAUUUUCAGUUUUAUUUACCCCUCAGGAGCUCGCAAGGAGCAGCACUUGAAUACUACUUCAACUAAGCAUCCAUUAAAGGAACUAUGUGAAGAAAAGAGGAAAUGCAUGCAGCGGGAAGUAUUUGCAGGUUAUGUUUAUAACUGAAAGUAAAUAUAUAUAUAUAUAUAUUGAGCUACAUUUCAUGUGGUGUCUACUGGUGUCGGUGGAAUACGCUGUUUUACUCAAUCUAACUGUAUGAGUCAUUUUAUCUAUAUUAUCUUUUGGGUUUUGUUUUGUUACUCGCACAAUCACCACAAGGGGCACUUCAGGUGAACGGGCAGGUAAAUGCUUCAAAAGGGACACAGGUGAAGCAGUGAUCUGGGGAACGGGAAGAACACGAGGUUUUCACCGCUAAUCUCCAACACCACUCUCACCCUCAUCACGUACAUCACAAUCAUCGUAAGUCGAACGUAUCUGUCUUUUUUAGUUUGUUUUUCAUGUAAUCAAUAAAUGGCAAAAUAUAACUCAACAACAACCUUGGACAUUGGAUUGUACUAAAAGCGCGUCAAAAACACCUCACUCCCGCACCCAGACAGUGACUAAAAUUCUGGUCAGCAUAUUCAAUGCAGUAACCUUGCAAUGAUGUUGAAUUGAAUUUCCCUGGUGUGUCUUUUUUUAAAUAUCUGUCAUUUACAUAUGAUUUUACUCACAGGGUUUGAUUUGAUAUCUGUUUGAAUCUCUGUUUGUGAGACUAUGUUUGCUCAAAUGCUGCAAACUUACCUGGUCUGGAAGAUUUACUGAGUUGUCAUUUUAAGCUAUGCACAGGUGGCAUGAUAACAAUAUAUAUUUUUUUGUAUACGGCACCUUUAAUGAGGAGGCUUUCCAAAAAAAUCCAGUCUGUUUAACCCCAUUUGCAGUAACUGCAUGAGAUGUUUUAUUCCUAUUUUACAGAUCCUUUCAUGAUUGCACGCAUCUCUAAAAGACAGAUGUUGCUUGAAUGAGUUUCCUGCUGAAACAGCUGUCCCUAAUAAACAAACGACUAUAAAGGCGGCGUUUCAUAGGCAAUUGCAUCAAGGAAGCAGCAGUGUGGAGUUUUUCUUCAACCUGUCACUCAACUCACUUUUCAGCUAUGCUAUGAGACCAUAUGGCUUAGAGUUUGGAGACUAUAAACAAGUUUGACUGACAGUCCAAUCAGGGCUUUCAAAGCACAGCGCAAAACAGGAUGAAUUUAGUUUGAAUGUCAGUGUUGGCUAACACCCCACAGCACGAUGACCCAAACAAAAGAUGAUUGUUUUUCUGGAUGGAUUUUAAUUACUUCACAUGUGUUGUGAAACCUGUUCAUGCUGAACCUCCUACCACUCUUUCCUCUCACACCAUGUAAAUACCUGCAGCUGGACAAUUUUGUAAUAAAGCGUGUCGGCACACUAAACGCUUAGUCUGCUACUCCCUCUAAAUUUGGGCCUUUGUUAAAUUGGAUUCCAAAUGCAAUUAUCUGCCAAGGUAAUUCAUGACAGAGUACCCUGCUGUAGCUGCUCAUUUAAAAGGAUGCAGUCAUUUAGGUGUCAUUUUGGAACAAUACUGUAUCUCUUGGAAAAGGUGAGGCCCAGAGGGAGCGUAGCGGGCUUUUUAUUCUGUCUGGACGAGCGGCUAUGAAUGAUUAGUGUCUUCCAAUAACUAGUUCCAAGGAGAGUGUUUAAAGCGAAACUGUAAGCAAAUGUCUGGCCUAGAUCUGUUUAGUAAUGAGUUGGAUCUCCAUGAUUAGUCAAAUCCAUCACAAAUGGUGCUAUUUGUAUAAUGUUUGCAAAACACAAGCAUUUUUAAUCAGCAUGCAGAGCCUUUCCAGGGAAAUCAUGUCAGUGGCAGAUGGAUUCUCAAUAUCAAGACCAGCCUGGUUAUAGCACUUGCUUUGAGGUAACCUUAUGUAGGCUCAGUGGGUCCUUUUGUCUGUCUCAGUGCUAGUUUGAUGUGCUGCAGUGAAAUGCUUACUUUUUUUUCUUCUAAGCCACGCAGUGUUCACAAAUCAGAGGACUGUUUCUGAUGCAGGACUUCAAGACAGCUACGCUUCCAGGCAGCCUGCAAGUGGAUUAAUCCAGGGAAAGAGUAAUUGCCCUUGCAUUGUAUUGACUCGAUGCAUGGAGGAAUUCAGAUCACUUACAGUACUGUAGGAUUGAAGCCAGUGCCUCAGACAAACUAAGGUGUUUAUGUGUGUGCAUUUAAUUUGGAGUAAGACUGCAAUGGUCCUAUUAAUGGAUUAAAGGACUGCUUGUAAAUGUAAUGAUGCGAAUCUGCUGACUACUUUGGAAAAUAUCAGAGCGGGACAUGAAUUAACAGCAGUCUUCCCACCCUUAACAAAGGCAUACAAACUGGUCUCACAGCAAUGAGUGAAAGUGUCACAGAAUAGAAAUAGAAAUACAAAGGAUUUCUCCUUUUUAUUACCUAAGCAACAAUUCAGAAUAAACUCAUUUUAAUGAAAGUGAUAUUUUGGGGUUGCAACAUGUAGGCCUCCAAGUGUCUGACAGCGGUGAUACAAAUGUUAAUAAUGUACCCAGCAGCCUUUUCUCAGACAAAUCUUUCUUCUAGGAAAGACCAAACACACUUGAAACCAGCAGCUUUAGUAUAUGCCAGUGUACAGUCCUAACAUAAAACAGUGUAUGCAUGUAAAAAACCUGUAUGCUCUUGAAUCCACAGCUUUAGUUAAUUAUAAUUAUCCAUAUCUAAUUUUGUGGUCGUCCAGGACUUUGAUUCUUAAGCAUCUGUUGUUUAAAUGAUUCCUUUGUACCAAACACAUGUAUCCUGUGUUUGACUCUCCUCUCUGUACACACUAUAUAGAUGUUCAUUAUGCAUGCACACAAUGCUCUUCUGUGUUGUUCAGGGUCAAGGACUGAUUACUCAUUAUUGUCACUUAUUAGUCUGGUUAUGUGACCAGUACUGCGAAUGGCAACCCAAGGGCUGCGCUGAUCUGUGAUGUAGUUACUAACGCUGCGUUCCAGUUGUACCCUGAAGUCGGAUUCUCUGAGCUCCGAGUUGGGAAUUCAUCUUGAACGGAUUUCCGAAACGGAAAGUUGGAUGAUCCUCACCAACCCUGACAUGACAUCAUAAUCCAAGAUGGCAGCGCAAUGCAUCAACAGUAAAGAGUAACAAUGAAAGCUCUCGAAAUUAUUAGCGCUUCUGUUUUGUUUUUGUGAAAUGAAAUAAUUGAUAUAUGUUGUACUGCCCUUUGUCUAACUGUGAACACGGUGCUAUGGUGUUUGUAAGGGUAAAAUACUGUGUUAUGCGUUCUUUACAACUUGUAUCACGAACAACAACUAACAACGGCUGACAACGGCUAACGACCGCUGACAAUUGUAAACAACAGCUAACAACGGGUAAUAAAAGGCGUCCAUCUUGAUUUUCCGACUUGUUAACUGGAAUGCCAUCAACACGGGUGUAAUGUCAUCCCAGCUCCGACAUCUGACCUCCAUGGGAACUUGAACGCAGCAUUAACCAUGAGUCCUAGUAAAGUCUUGAACCCUAUAAGUUUUCAAGUCUAAAUCAAGUCUGAGCCACCAGAGAAGAAUUACCAGAUUUGAGGUCAAAAUCAUAACCAAACAUGUUGCUCUUCUCUGGCUUGCAUUUAUUGUAGAACACUUAAAAACAAUGACUUGCUUAUCAAGACGGCACAUAAACAUGCAUGCAACACAAAUACAUACCCACUGUGAGAUUAUCAGAGCCUUACAUGAAACAAUCUGAACAUUUAAACCGUCGAUAUGAAAAAAUAAGUCCUACAAAAGUGCUGUCAGAGCUUGAGUGUGAGUACAAAUCCAAGACAUCAGUGCUCGAGUCCAAGACCAGUCACAACUCCUGAAAAGCAACACUUGAGUCAAACUGAAGUCUGCUUCCUGGAAUCAAGCACAACAACACUGCACCCCCACAAACUUGAGCUGUAGUUGGCAGUAUGUGUGGUCAGAGGCAUACUAUUUUGGCUGAGUUGAACAAGAUAGUUUCUUUGCAUUUCAUUGUAGCAUGUUUACUUUUUUUUGUGGAUACAUCUCUUUUUUGAGUUUAAAAACGAGUGCCAAUGUCAAUUAACGAUAUCCUUGAUUUUGAAGCACCAUUGCACGGUUAUAAAAGUUGUUCUGCCACACUUGGCUCUCCUUUGAUUCUAUUUGAAAGCACUCUGUGCUCAGUAUUUGUUUCUAUCAAGUAAAAUAUUAGGAGCAAAACAUACAUUUGAUAAGAAUCCGUCAGUCAUAGAAAAAGCCCUGAAGUUGUGCCUCAGAAUGGCACUUGAGAAAAGUUUGUACUUCACAAGGACUUCAGCCAUUGUUUCCAAAGAUAAUGCCAGAAUUUCUGCCCCUGCUUGAUUUUUAUGUGUCGGCGAUGAUAAGCUUCCAUAAAUUUAACUCUUCCUGACCAAGUGUGACAGCUAUUGCAAUGGAUGUGUUUUUUUGGCUGGGAAUGGUAAGUGCAAAAAAACACUGAUAUGCAUUUGUUUUGUUUUAAAAAAGGAAAAGUAGCUGCUGUCCAAUCCAAAAGCACUGUCAGGUGAUAUAGACCCUUAAAUUUGAAAGAUUAAAAAGAUUAAUCUGUUGUCUUUUUUAGGAUAGAUCAAGGAUUGUUAUUGUGUGCUAUGCUCAAUAAUGGAUAUUAUUUGUCCUUCUGAAAAGUUUCAGUCUGCUUAAAGAAAUAAGAUUAUACAACUCUCUUUGAAAUUCAUAACUUUAAAUCCAAGUAACUUAAUGUAAAAGAAUUGAGUUUUAGAUAGUUAUUUAAUAAAGGUGUUAAGACUAGUUUUAAAAAGCUUAAAAAUGAUUGGAAAUGUUCCCUGUCAGGUCUUACCCUGUAGGCUUCCAAAAUUCACACAGCAUUAAAAAGAGGGGCUUUUAGUUUCACAGUACCAAGUAAUUGGAAUUUGCUUCCUAGAUUUUGAGCUUACUGUAUUAAAACCAUUUGUAUAAAUCCUUUGUAAUUUCAGAAUUCACAAAUCUUAAUAACUUUUGCUUUCGAUAUUUGAAAUGUUACUUUUUUUGUUCAUUGUUCAGUUGAUUAUUUUAUGUUUUUCUCUUUUAAAGCUUAUACAUGUAUUUCAAAGUGUUGGUCUUGUUCUUUUUCUGAAUACUGCAGUCUCUCCUGAUCUGAUGAUUAUAUGGAAUCUGCUCACUCUCAUACACUAGCUGUAUUUGCUUUGCUGUACUCGUUGUGUCUUUCCUGUGACACCUUUGCAAAUGAGAUUUACAUAGAUAUAUGAUGAUAAUUGUGAAAAUGACUGCUCACCAGUAAGGUUGUAGUAAAUAAGUGAAGUGUGUUGUUGAGUAGCUGUAGUUUUGUUUUCUUCUUCUGCUGCUGAACUUGCUGGCUGUUGCUGCUGCUGUAAAUACAAAUGUGUUAGAGUUAAUUUUCACCCACUUCCUUGAACAUCUCAUGAGGAUCUUUGCAAAUAUGUCUGUUAAUUGUAUGACGGCAUAAGUGUUAAUCACUUUUUAACAAAAUGUGGAUCGAAAUAAAAGUGGUUGCAUGAUCUCAUUAUGAUAAAUAAAUGAAUAAUACAUAAAUAAAUGAAUAAUUUUUUCUGUUGUUGCAAUAUCCACUUCAUUCAUGGAACAGCAGCAUUCAGUAUUGGAGUGAUGUGUCUGUUAAUACCUUGUCAAUCUUUCUUGAAGGUUGUGUACAUAGAGCAGUGAUUGAACUGGCAUACAUACAGAUAAUAUAAUAUAAUAUAAUAUAAUAUAAUAUAUAUAUAUAUAUAUAUAUAUAUAUAUACACUCACCGGCCACUUUAUUAGGUACACCAUGCUAGUAACGGGUUGGACCCCCUUUUGCCUUCAGAACUGCCUCAAUUCUUCGUGGCAUAGAUUCAACAAGGUGCUGGAAGCAUUCCUCAGAGAGCUUGGUCCAUAUUGACAUGAUGGCAUCACACAGUUGCCGCAGAUUUGUCGGCUGCACAUCCAUGAUGCGAAUCUCCCGUUCCACCACAUCCCAAAGAUGCUCUAUUGGAUUGAGAUCUGGUGACUGUGGAGGCCAUUUGAGUACAGUGAACUCAUUGUCAUGUUCAAGAAACCAGUCUGAGAUGAUUCCAGCUUUAUGACAUGGCACAUUAUCCUGCUGAAAGUAGCCAUCAGAAGUUGGGUACAUUGUGGUCAUAAAGGGAUGGACAUGGUCAGCAACAAUACUCAGGUAGGCUGUGGCGUUUCAACGAUGCUCAAUUGGUACCAAGGGGCCCAAAGAGUGCCAAGAAAAUAUUCCCCACACCAUGACACCACCACCACCAGCCUGAACCGUUGAUACAAGGCAGGAUGGAUCCAUGCUUUCAUGUUGUUGACGCCAAAUUCUGACCCUACCAUCCGAAUGUCGCAGCAGAAAUCGAGACUCAUCAGACCAGGCAACGUUUUUCCAAUCUUCUAUUGUCCAAUUUCGAUGAGCUUGUGCAAAUUGUAGCCUCAGUUUCCUGUUCUUAGCUGAAAGGAGUGGCACCCGGCGUGGUCUUCUGCUGCUGUAGCCCAUCUGCCUCAAAGUUCGACGUACUGUGCGUUCAGAGAUGCUCUUCUGCCUACCUUGGUUGUAACGGGUGGUUAUUUGAGUCACUGUUGCCUUUCUAUCAGCUCGAACCAGUCUGGCCAUUCUCCUCUGACCUCUGGCAUCAACAAGGCAUUUCCGCCCACAGAACUGCCGCUCACUGGAUAUUUUUUCUUUUUCAGACCAUUCUCUGUAAACCCUAGAGAUGGUUGUGCGUGAAAAUCCCAGUAGAUCAGCAGUUCCUGAAAUACUCAGACCAGCCCUUCUGGCACCAACAACCAUGCCACGUUCAAAGUCACUCAAAUCACCUUUCUUCCCCA
rnacentral:lncRNA from 1 species